rnacentral:lncRNA from 1 species
GUGUUUGUAGUUGAUUGAUAGGUUAGAAACUUGAUCAAAAAAUUAAUCACAUAUUGAUGGAUUGAAAAACAAGCUAAUUAUGUGGCAUAUAUAUAAAAAACUUGCCUUGCAAGUUAAGAUAUAUAUCUUACAAAGUUAAUACAUUUUAGAGGUGUGAGCCCAAAUUUCACUACUCAAUGAAAUUGAUGCUAUACAAUAAAUUCAAGAGGUAGAAUGAAAGAAUUUUCAAAUGUAUAAUUGUUAAGUUAAUUUAAAUCUUAGUAUUUGUGGUUCAAUUAACUUUAAGCCUUUCAAGUAAUAGUUAUUAAUAAUAAAAGUAAAACUAAAAAUUAAAGAAAAGAAGAUUAAGGUUAAAAGUUAAUAAUUAAAUUAUAAAAGUUAUAAAUUAUUAUAAAAAUAGAAGUAAAAGUGGGAGUAAAAAGAGAUAAAAGCAAAGGUACCUUGAUAACAUCUAAGAAUUGAGGGCAACAACUCUUUUCUAUUCAAAAAUUUACCACUAAUUGUAAUUAUUUUUAAAUUAAAUAAUUUUUAUUUUUUUGAAAAAUUAACUUAAAGUUGCUUUUGCUCUAAUAAAUUUAAAUUCAAUUCAGUAUCUAAGUCGCAAGUAAUUCUCCUUCAAAUUCAAGUGACCAAGUCUGCCAUUGAAGGAAACCUUUCUCUACUUGGAAAUUAAUCAAAAAUUCAACUUUUCUUUAAACUCAAUGAAAUUUAUGCCAUUAGAAGCUCAGCUUAAAGAUUCACCUACUCUCAAAAUUUCUUAAUAAUCCAAUUAGAAGGCAGAGAGAAAUACCUUUUUAAAGAUGGGUGAUUUAAACUGCCAAGGCAGCCGACCCCCGUGCACUCAAAAUUUUACUAAAAUUUUGUCCUUACUCCAAAUCAAGUGAACCUUACCUUGUUGGAAAUUUAACACCAAAAAAUACAACCAAAAAAAAUUCACAUUGAAACUCAAAAAUUUAAUGACUGAUUGAGGGAAAUCCGAGGCUCUUCAAAUCCUUGAAAUAUUUGAGAGGCCGAGAGAGCUAUCUACCACAAUGGCAUAUGUCUUAAAACCCAAUGACCACCAUCCACUACUUAAGAUCCAUGCACACACAACCACAAGUUCACAAUGAAAUUAAAAAUCAAAAAUAAAAUUAAGAUAAGGUUUUAGGGCCAAAAUUUGGCAUGGCUUUGCCCUUCACCAAAAGAAAAGAGAAAAAAGGGCUUGGAGAACCAAGCCACUCUUAUACAAUUGAGUGGUGGCUUGUGGAAGGGUGGCCACAUUUCUACCUUUAAUCUCUAAGAUCCCUAAUAUAAAUCUAUGACCUUCAUUCAUCCAAAAGUCAAUUUUGUUAUUAAGGUUGAUGGCUCUUAUAAGUAAUCAAGAAAGAAUUUUUUGGUAAAUCUAACUUUGCCAUUGUGUUCAAUAUAACUUUUAUGCUAAGAUCAAUUACUCGUAUGCCUCAGUAAAUGUUCAAUUAUAAUUUUUAUGAAAAAAUUUAUCUACAAGGAUUUUGAUGAUUCUUGUAAAAUUCUUCAAAAUGAGAAUUUCAUUGCUCCACUCGUGUUUUGAAGGAGAGGGCUGAUCUUAUUUUCUUCACUCCACAAGGUGAAUCCAAUGCCAUUAUUGCAUUCAAAAGACUUCUAUUAAUUAUAAGAAUGACUAUGCCACUUGAAUUUAUUAAAUUUUGAAAAAAUCUCAAAAAUAUUAAUAUUGAAUUUCAUUAAAUCUUUUAGAAAAUCAUAAUUCUAACUCACUCUAAAUCAUAUGAGAUGUUUGUAGGUGAACUCUUAGGCUCUUAGUCAACCUUCAUAGUAGUGACUAACAACCUCUAAAUUAUUAAAACUAACUAAUUUGUUAUUCUAAUUUUUUAACUCUUAUCACUUUGAUCCUAAUUAAUCUAAUUUAAAAAAUUAGGCCAUGAUUUAUACCAUCAAAGGUUGAAAUCCUAAAAAUUAUAUAAAACUAAAUUCUACUUAUAUAAAUCCUAAUCUAACAUGCUAAAUUAUCAUAAAUUAAGAAAAUAACGAAAAUUUAAAUUUUAGAGCAUAAUUAAGAGUUUUUAGGAGAUCUUAUAGAAAAUUGCCAUGUAGCUCCUAAUUAAGAGUAUAUAUGGAGGCAAGAGUGAAGCCUUCUUUAUUCUUCUCAAUGCCUUUCUAGUCCUUAUUUUUGUUUUAAGACUUGUUAAUCUUUCUGUCUUUGGUAAGAAUAAUUUUAGUUUAAUAUUAUAUUAUCUUUCAGUGAUUUCAUAGUCUUUUUGAGUGACACAAGAGUGUAUUGAGGUUUUUUUUCCUUCAAAAUCCAUGUCCUAGAAAAUCACUCAACUUUCAAUUGAGAAGAAUAAACAAUUUAUAUGAUGCCUAUAGCUUGCACAAUUUAAACUUUGUAUGCCAAUUACUACAUAAUACUAUAAAAAUCUACUAGAUUAUAUAAAAUUACCAUUUUUAUUAAUUUUUAAAUUUAAAUUAUAUUAUAUAAAAUAAAGCAUCAUAGAUGAUCUCUAAGAUUAUUUUAUUUUAUUUUGUUAUUAUUGUUGUUGUUGUUAUUAUUAUAGUUUAUUAUGAAAUAGUGCAUCCUUAGAAAAUAUUGACAAAUAAGUUUCAAGAUGAUAAAUUCUAAUGGCUACAAGGUCAAGAUUCUAUUUUGAUUUCUAGUAGUAGCACACUGAUUUAAAAGAAGGAUAGAAAAUGAGUGCAUGAAAUCCAAAAUACCAAAUUAUUUUUUUUGAAGAAUUUAAGAUAGUUGAUCUAUCAUUGAGUAAUUUUGCUAGGCCAACAAUUUAUUAUCAAGUAGUUUUGAUAUUUUCUAAUUAGAAAUAAAUCAAGGGCCUAUCAAUAAUAAUAUUAAACUAUGAAUAAUAUAAACAAUUCAUUGUACUUAGAAUCAAUAUGCACAAAUUAUCAAAAAUUAAUUUUUUUAUUAAUAGAAUGAUAUAUAUUUAUGGUAGUUGAUUAUGCAUUGGCAAAUUAAAGAGCUAUUAGAAUAGGAUUGGAAGAUGGAAGAUGUGUGAGAUAUUAUUUGGAGAUGAGCAAAAAUAAAGAAAAAUAUUGGAAAAAAUCCAAUUUGAACAUGAUGGGUUACUUACAAUUGAAUGUUUGAAUUUUUGUUGCAUCAUCCACACAUUUACAUCCGUAGGUAGCACAAAAUUAGAUAAAAUUUGAUAGCAUAAUUAGAUACCAAACAUCACGGUUUUGUUAAAGUUGGAUUCUUGGUUUUGUAAUCCACCACUAGUAGAAACUAGAUUGGCCUAUACGUUGAAAAUUGGUCAAAGGGAAUCUUCACCUAAAACAUUUAUAUAAAUUCCAUUUUUGGACCAAAUUGUGGAAAAACACUAAAAAUACUCUUUCCCUACAUGGAAUAUUUAUUUUCCAUUUUUACACCUACUAGCUAUAUGCUGAAAUGCUUAAGGUAUCAGAAAUAAGUUAUCAGAAAUACCUUAUGAUGGUCCAUCUGUAUACGGGGCAUCUGUAGACACACAAUGACAAUUGUGUACCACAACUCUAACAUUACUUGAGAUGCACGGAAUGCAAGAGCUUCCUGGAGGCUCUACAAGGAACGAACUUAUGAAACAGCGUCCCUGUGUGAAACAUUCUCUUGUCUCUGUUCAUCAUAUUGUUGUGUUGACUAACGUGUAAUGUCCUGAGUCACGUUAUCCGUUAUCCCCUUCCAAAUAGUUAAAUGACCAGCAUCGCGGUAUAUGCUCCCUAAACUGUGCGAAGUUAUUUCAGCCUUACACUGACACUGACUCUCAAUGUCCUCUUCGAAACGGUUACUUCGCGAGUACAAUGGUACUUUGGAACAUAUGCGUAGGCAAUUCGGACAAAACGACCAGGAGGCAUCCAAUACUUUCCUAUGGGGUCUUCGAGAGGUAACAAACAGAGCCCCGAUAUUCAACGACAAUGAGAAUGCCGUCAACCAUGUCAUAUAAACCGGCAGCCCAGUCAACAAGAGUCGUGCUAAAAACUACAUGGUGGAGCCUCCCGCGACAACAACUGCAGUUGAAAGGCUUUGGAGUGAUCCUGAAAACCGCCUACCUUGGGAGAUGGACGACUACAGGGAGAGGGGGAGGGAGAGGGCGAUUUGAAUGGUACGUUAGGACCAGCCUUCCGCUUGCAAUUGUGUCUUCCUCAAUCGCUCUCACGUCGCCGUUGGUGGCACAGUGUCCUCUCUCUCUCUCCCUCACUCUUUCACUAUCUCUGACAGUAGGAAAUUUAUCGUGGUCUAGCUAUCCGGGUCGAAUGCAAUUUCUCUUGUUGUUUGUAACCCUCUGGUUGUGGUCGAGCGGGAAUCAUGGCUAUGAUUCCUGGUCACUUAUCCUGAAGCUCUGAGUCUGUCAUAUUCGUAGUUGAAACGAUUCGUGUAGGGGAUGUGGAAGGCGGUUUGGAAUAGACAGGAAGGCUGGGCGCGUAUAUGAAGAUCGGGAUCUGUUUAGAGCAUUGAUAAUGGCGAGGCGUGGGCUGCUUGUGAGAUGACGAAAAAUGACGGCUGUAACAUGCCACGUUUUAGGUAUCCAAUGACUUAAGCUGCAAGCAUCUGAAGUUUAACACACACACAGAUUAGCAAGACAAAAUGUGACCACUAUUUCAACUGUGCAAUUGCAAUCAAAUUACUUUAGGGUAUUGUCAUCAAGAUUCUGCACAAUGAGCCAAUAAUCUCUAUGAUCACGGAAUGAUUCAACAUAAAAGAUUAGCCAUUCUACUUUGUAUAUCAAUCUAUACACUCCUUAUUUUACAUUUACAUGUAGUAUUUACUCCCACUUGUUCAUGUUGACUUUAGACAACCAAAUGUUAUAUUUUAUCUCCCACUAAGUUAGCAAUAAAAGUAAUUAUGCCCAAUAAGGAAUGGAGUUGAAUAAAACAAUCUUAGAGAAGAACCUUAGUAAGAAUGUUAGCAAUCUGGUUUGAUAUCAAAAUAUAAGUGAAUUCAAUUUUUUGUUUCUCCUAGAGCUCAUGGAUAAAGAAUUAUUUUAUUUCAAUAUGUUUUAUUUGUUUAUAAAAAACAUAGUUCUUGUCAAGAGCUAUUAUUCUUUAAUUGUUGCAUGAAAUAAUCAUUAGUGAGAAUUGAGGUAUUGCAAUAUUAUAUAAGAGAUAAGAUAAUUAAAUGGAUUUUUUUAUUAUCUUUGCUAUUGCUAAAAGUUGAGUAAGAGUCAUGGAGUUUGUGGUACAUAGUUGCUAUUGAUUGUUCUAUGAUAUGGUUCUACCAACUAAAGAAAAUACAUAACUAAUGCAACUCUUGUGGUUAUUCAAACUCUUUUGGUUAAUGCAUAUAAUUUAUUUAUUUAUUUAUUUAUUUAUAUAGAUGGUAAUUUAAGAAGGUAGUACUAAUGUCAAAUUAUUAGAGCUCUAUAUCAUGAAUACAAGCAAUAGCAAAAAAUACACAAAUAAAAUAAUAUUCGACAAGCAAGCUAAAAGUUUUGUUAUAAUUUAUACAUUAUUUUUGAAUAAAAUAUUUUACUGUAAAUUGAACCUUAUAUUCUUAAAAUUUAUCAUUAGAGUUACAGUUGAUUUUGUGAACCUAGUUAUAAUAGAUAGUUUUUUUAUUUUAUAAUGAUAAGGUGGCUUGAAUAGAGACAAGUGCCUUUACUUAUGUUUGUGGUUCAAAAAAAUGAUUACCAAUAGCCUCAAGAUAAGAUGUAGAUUCUGAAUGAAGAUAAAUAGAAGCAUUUGUUGUAAAAGAAGAUGUGGCACAAAGAGUAGUAUUUAAAGUAUUUGGCAUAGAAUAAUAACUUUGAUAUUAAGAUAAAAUUAAAAAAUCUUGAGUCAAGUUAGUAUAAGAAGUAGAAAUAGGAUUGAAUAAAGGAUCAUUAACUUUUCUUACUUGAAAAUCUUGUACUAAUUUAGAAAAAUUUAAAAUUAAUUUUUUUUAUUAUAAUUCAAAUAGAGAUAUAUUUAAUUAUACUUUGAAGAUAAGAUAUGAUUCUAGAAUAGUGGUCUUUUUUGCAACAUUUCUAAAGAAGAAAGAUAAUCAAAAUCAAUAAUUAAAAGCAAUAAAAAAUCAAAAACAAGAAGUAAGUAAAAUAUAUAGAUUUAAGAUAUUUUAUCAAAUUUCAUAUUAGAGCUUUCAAAAAUUAUAUUGAAGAUAGUGUUCUAGAACUUCUAAGCCAUAUCUAAUACAAAAUAAUCAACAAAAAUUAUUAGAAUACUCUUAAAUCCAAAUUUAGUCUAUUUAUAUUUAUAAAUGUGUAUAAGUAUAAGUAUCAAGGAUAUAUAUAUUUCAAAGAAUUAAAAGGCCAAUAAAUUCUUGUGUUAUUCAAAAAGACUAAAAAAUCACUCAAAGAUGGUAUAAUAUUAAAUUAGAAUGGCUAUUGCCAAAGACAAGAAGACUAAAAAGUCUUGAAAUGAUACUAAAGACUAAAAAGGCAUUGAUAAGAGUGAAUAAGGCUUUAUUCUUAUUUUUACAUAUACUAUCUAACUAAGAGCUAUAUAGAAAUGUUCUUUAGAACCUCCAACACGUGUCUAAUUUGCAAGAAAUAUGACUUAACUUGCAAAGCAAGCUUCUUAUAUGGAUACCAUAUCAUUAGCUUAUAUCACAAGCUACCUACAUGUACAACAUAUGGCUAACUUGUUGGCUAAGUUUCUGACCUAUCAAUCAACUAUAAACAUGCAUAAAGUCAAAUAUGCAUCUAUGAAGCUUUUGAAAAUCUUUGCCACAAGAUAAUAUCAAAUUUAUCAAUAUUUAUCUUCUAUCUAGCACUUUUUAUGUAGAUAAAUAUAUAUGUCCGUGAUAGCAAGAGAGCCAAAUAUUUUGUAAUAAAGUACAAAACAUUUGUAACCAAAUAAUUUUUUAAAAGAUUUUUUAUUAUCAAUUUGAGAAUAAAUUUUCUAAUUCAAAAUACAUACCUUGGUAACUAUAGCCUCUAUUGAAAGUUAUAGUAAUAAUAUUUUUUUUAUAUAACAUUGAUCAUGCUUAUUUAUAAAUAAUUUAAUUAUUUUAUUUGAUAUAACCAUUUUAUUAUAAGAUGUAAAUGGUACUAAGUUUAUAACAAAUUAUAGCUUCAUUUGAAAAAAAAUUAAAAAUAUAAUUAAAAUAUUUUUUUCUUUGAUUUGUUCAAAAAUAUUUUAUAAAAAUUGAUAAAUCUUGAUGUGUAAUAUUUAUAGUUUUUGAAAGUAGUCAAAGGAUAUCAACUUUGUUUUGCAAAAUAAACUCAUUAGUAAGAUGUAACAUCAUUUUUGAAUAACAUAAAAUAUUAAAAAACCUUAAUAAAUUCAACAUUGAAUUUUUUAAGAUAUUACAAUGUAAAAACUUAUUUGGAAUAGACUUCUUGAUUUUUUUUUUCAUUAUGCCAAUAUGUCAAUUUGGCAUGUUUUUUAGGCAUGCAACCAUAAUAUAAAGAGGAUUCUUAGUUGCAUUAACUAAGAUAAAAUUAAAAAAAUAAUUAUGAGUAAAUAUUCUUCUAAUAGUUAAAAUUUUGAUAUUAGAUAUUAUUUUAUAUCAAAGAUCUAUAUUUUAAAAUCAAAUAUAUUACAAAAUUAUUCAAAUCUUAUAUAUAAAUAUUUUAAGAUUUUUUUAAUUAAUUCUAUAUAAUUUCAAUGGAUUUAAAUAAUAUACUUUGUUUUAGAUAAAAAAAUUAUAAGCUCUAAAGAUGGUAAUAAAAGAGAUAUCAACUUCAAAAACAAUACCGAUAGAGAAGAGAUUGCUAGUAAAAAAAGAGACAUAAAUCACGUUAAUAAAAAUUCUAAGUAAAGACAUACUAUAAACUUCUUAUUUUAUAUAAAUAUUACCUUGACUACAAAUCCAAAAUAUGCAAUCAUCAGCAAUUGUGAUGUACUAGUUGCUUCCUACAAUUGGAAUAAAAGAGUCAAAUCAUUAUCAACAAUCGAUCAUAUAUUUUGUGGUGGCAAAAUCUGCAUAUCAAAAUUCAUUGUAAUAAAAAAAAUAGAUUAUGCAUGCAACAAAAAAGUAGAAGUCAUAAAUACAAAAUUUAAAAUUUAUAAAGUAGAAAAAAUUUAUAACUUAUUAUUUAGAUUGGAAUAAUAUUAAAGGCUUUUAGAUAUAUUAAUUUUGGUAGUAAUAUUUAUUGAUGCUAAAAUGUUUCUGUUCUUUUUCUUUGACUUUAAUUGAUUAAUAGACCAAUAUUUUUUCUUGCCUUAGUUAAUAAAUUUUAUUUGACUUUCCAUAUCUUGAAUGUCUUAGAGAUCAUCUUAGUGUUGUAAAUGACAAUUUACCAACCUAGAUUUUGGAGCUUCUUAAUAAGUACGAAAAAAAUAAGAUCUCUUGAGUUGUCUUCUACACUUUGUAUUUGAAGGAUGCUUUUGUAGCAAAAAAGUUGUUCUUGUAGAAUUAGAACAAUUUUCUAUUCUUUCAAUACAUUUGCCUAAGUAGCAAGUAUGUUGUUAUAACUUAAAAGAAUACUUGAUAUGAUUUUUGAAAAAGAUAUGCUCUUUAACAUUUUAUGUUCUAAAUAUUUUUUAAAAAAAGCCAUGAUCUUAAUGCUUUAAAUAUGUGAAUUGAUAUAACUUAUUUGAAAUAACUUAUAAUUGUAAAACUUAUCUUGCAAUUGAAAAAUAUUCUCUGCAAUAUGUUUAAGGUAGAUGGAGCAAAGCUUUGUCUGCAUAGUUUCAACAAUAAAACAACAUGUUACCUUUGAUGUAAUAUGAAGUGAUAUUCUAGAAGUUAUGAGUAUUCUUGAAUUUUAUUUUUUUUAUUCUAUAUGUCAAUGUAUACUUGAAGUUUUGGAGUAUUUGAAAUUAUUAGUAUAAUCCAUUGCUGACCAACUCUUAUAAGAAUACAAUACAUUAUUUUUUCUUUAAAAAAAAAAAUCAUAUAAAAAUUCCACAUAAAAACUAAUCCUCAUCAAAAACUUUGACACCAAAUUUUCAUAAGGUCAAUUAGUAAUUACUUAAAAGAUAAAAAUAAAUCAACUAUGGAUAAAAUAAGAAAGUUAUUAAAGAAAUCAAAUGUAUUAGUAUUACUUAAUAUACAUAUAAAAUGUAAUAAAGAUCCAAAACAUGUUCAACUUUAACACACACAUUAAAUACACACAAUAGCAAUAUAAAAUGCAACUUCUAUCUAAAUUGUAAAAUCACACUCAAAUCACUUUAUAACAUUGAUUUCAAUUUACAACAUAGCAAGCUAUUAAAUUCUAUACUAAUAUGAUAAUUCACCUACAUCAACCUAUAUAAUAUUAAUUUUGGUUCACAUUCAAAAAGACUAGAAAAUCAAUCAAAGAUGGUAUAGAAUUAAACUAAAAUAGCUAUAAUUAAAGAUAAGAAAAGUAGAAAGUCUUGAAACAAAAUCAAGGACUAAAAAAGAAUUGACAAGUGUGAAGAAGGCUUCAUUCAUGUCUCUAUAUAUACUAUUUUACUAAGAGUUGCAUGGCGACAUUCUAUAGGAUCUUUGACACAUGUCCAAAUUAUAAGACAUAUGUUUUAACUUGUAAAGAAUAUUUUUUAUAUGUGUGGCACAUAAUUAGCUUGUUUCACAAAAUAUCAACAUAUGUAAUACAUGGCUUAUUUUUUUACCAAGUUUUUAACCUACCAAUCAACUACAAAAAUUUAUAUAGUCAAAAUUAUGUCUAUUAAGCUUUUAAGAAGCUUUUCUAUAAAAUACAAUUCAAAGAAACUACUUUUAUCUACUUCUACCUAAUCAUAUAGGUAAAUAUUGAAAUAAAUAUGUAUGCAUAUGACAUUGCAUUAAUUCUUUCAUGAUUUCUUUUCUUUUCUUUAAUAAAAUCAAUUAAAAAAAUUAGAUUUUAGGAUUAUAAUAAUGCAAUAAGUAUAAGAAAUAUCAUACUUUGUUUGUCCAUUUCACCAUCAAAUUCAAAAUAUUUCUCUUUAAGAUAAAAAAAUCUCUUUAAGAAAAAUCUCUAUAGAUUCUCCAUCAACAUAUUUUUCAUCAAAAAUAUUUUAAUGAUAACUCCUAAGGACAUAAAGAUCUUAGCUAAAAUAUUCCACAUCUCUUUUGUAAACUUAUAUAUAUAUAUAUAUAUAUAUAUAUAUAUAUAUGAGUCAAUUAUAAAGACUUGACAUUGAAGGCAAUUAAUGCUUGUACUUCAAAUUUCCUUGAUUUUAUUUUAGCUUUUCAUCUAUAUCCAUAGGACAUUCUAAUAUCUCAUUUACAUAUAUAUAAAGCUUAAAAAUUUGCAUCAAAUUCUUUAUAAGUAAUACCUAUGUACUAUAAUAUUUACAUUUAAACAACUAAUACAAUGAUUGAUAGAAGAUGAUGCUAUUGCCAAAAAAGACUAAUACAAUAGUAAGAAGCAAUAAGAUUGUUGAAUAAGAAUAAAUCUUAUAAUAACUAAAUAUUAUACAAACUACAAUAUUAAGAGGUAGUAAUACCAAGCUAUGAUGGAAGAAAAGUAGUUCUUUUUUAACACAAGUAGCAAAUCAAUUCUAGUUGAAAUGAAGAGCAAUAAUAUUAUAAGAAGGCUCUAACAACAACAAGACUCCAAUAACAACAAGGCUCUAACAACACUUCACCCGUUGUUGUAUUGUGAUUUAGCUACUAUGUGAAAAUAAUGCACAUAAAUAUUUAAUAUAUAAUUUACUAUACAAUGUAGUAAGAGCCACAUUGUUAGAUUUUAAUUACUUAUAAAAUAUAAUUAGAUUAAUACUUUGAAGUGGUUAGUUUAAAACGGCUAUUAUUGAAGUUGAUUUUAUGUUGAUAAUAGUUUUAUGUAUUUAGAGCCACCUUCAUUAGAUAUUGGUAAUACUUAAAAUCUUGUUAUGUUUCUUUCAUUUGGUAUUUAAGGCAUAUAUUAUAUAAAUCUUAUAAGAAAAAGGAUUGGAGAGGGAUUUCGGUAGCAAAAAGAAUAGUUAGUACAUCCAUAUAGAUGAUUGGAGAUGAAUGAUGAAAAUUUCCAUUGCUAUCGGUGAAAAGGCAUGCCCAAUAGAUUUUAAGGAGGCUGCCUAAGGUCUUAUUAGGGAUUAGAGUUAUUCUUUCAAAGGCAUUUGAACUUGAGAGGCUAAAGUCAAAAAUUUUAGGUUUUUGGCUAUAGUUUUGGUACAAAUUUUGAGUGAUUUGGAGUUUUUAUGAGAGAGAUAUAGGCACUCAAAAUUAAGGUAUUGAUUUUGUACCUAUUGUCAUUCUUUUUGACUUAACAUAUGCAUACAGAAAGCAAUAAAGGAUUGGCAACUAAAGUUGAAAAGAGAAAUUUUUUGGCUAUAUUUUUUAUUUAUUUCUUGAUGAAUUCUAAGCUAAAAUGAAGAGAUUAUAGAUAGUUGAAGUUAGCACUUGUAAUCUAAAGGUAGCAAGUAAACCGAUUUACUAAUGGCUGUAUUUUGAACUAUAUCUUGAAUAAUUUGAUAAGAUUUUAGCUAAACUUUUCCAAAAAUGUGUGUUAUCAUGUUAUUAAACUUUAUACAAAAAUUUUGUAACAUUUGAAUCUUGGAAUUUUGAGAUAUAGGAAAAAUAGUAAUCAAGUGCUUGUAAAUUAGGGUUUAAAGCACCUGCUAGGAUUUUUAAGAUGCAAGACGAUUUUUAUUAGAUUUUUAAUAUUCCAAAAAAUAGUUUUUUUUGUAGUAAAUCUUAAGGAUAAAAUUUAGAUUAUCUAGAAAUUUUUAAAAAAUUGAAUAGUUGGAUUAAGAGAUAUAGAAAUUUCUAAAGUUUGGAGAAGAAAACUUGUAUGAAUGAAAAAUAUGUUUUGAAAGGGCUUUACUACAAUUUAGAUAUUUUAUAUAAAAUAUAGGGGAUUUUGGAAGCAAAGACUUUGUAUAUAUGUUAAAAAUGGAGAUAUGGAGCUAUGGCAAAAUUUUGAUAUAAAAGUGGAUUUUUGUAAUAAGAUUAUAGACUUUCCUUGAGCUUAUUGGAAAUCAAGCUUAUCUAUCAAUGAUUUAGUUAUGAUUUGGUAUAGCAAAGGAUAUUAAGGAAUUUCUAGAUGAUUUAAAAAGCCUUAUAUAUAAAGUUUAUUAAAUAUAAAAGAUUUUUAUUAGUAGAAUAUUUUUAUAUUAUUAUAUUUAUUUGGCCUUUAUAAUUAAAAUAUAUUAUUUAUUAGAAGUUGGUCAAUAAAUUAAAGCUGAAUUCUCUACAAAUAAGUAUCCGAUAUAUUCUCAAAUAAAAAAUCACUCUAUUGGACAACUGGUGAAUUUGACGUAAAACAUCUAAGAUAGUGAAUUUUAAAGAAAUAUUUUUGGCUUUCUAUUAUAGCUAAAGAAUAAGUAAGUGGUAGUGGAAAUUGUACUAAGGAAUCACCAUUACAACUUCAUCUUGCUACAAUUCAAAUGUUUUAAGCAUUUUCUUUUUAUAUGCAACAACAAAAAGAAAUGGAUCACAAAGAAGCAAUAGCUACCAAAGCUUUAGAAUUUGUUGUUGGUUUAUUAAAUCAAUUUGAUGGGAGAAACAUUACCAGAUAUUUGAAAUAAUAUUCUGAAGAGAUGGAGUGCAAUAAGGUAUCAAAGAAGGAAAUGGUCCUUAUAUUUAAGCUUGUAAUUGUACUAGAGCUAUGAGAGCAUAAAAAAGAAUUUAUUCAAAUCCAUGUAGAAAAAUGGGACGAUUAUACCCUUCAACUAAAAGAAGAAUAUUUUUUGGAGGAUACUGAAAGAAUAACAAAAAAAUCAUUGAUGGAAUGGAUUAAUAAAUCCAACAAGGAGUUGAUUGCAGCAAAGUUAUUUAGAGAGUUUGACAAACAAUUUCUUCAAUCAUCUCUAAUGAAAAAGCUUAUACUUCAAAAUCAUGAGGUAGAGUUAUUUUUUCAAUCAGCCAACAAUAAAUUAUAAAGCAAAUUGGAUUUAUUAUUGAAGGAUUUUUGCUUUUGAAUCCUUACAGAUUGGAUAUGUGGAUCUAAGUAUUAUAGCAUCUAUAAUUAUAUUUAUAAUUCCACAUGCUCUUUUGGAUUUAAAGCCAAUUAAAAUACCUCGAGUGCAUCAAUCCAAAUUUAUGGAACUUUUGAAAGAAAAGAUACAAAUGAAGAUCUUAGAACCAUCAUUUGCACCAUAUUCUAGCUAUUAGUUCAUAGUACAAAAGAAGAAUGGAACACUACAAUUUACUUAGGAUAUGCAACCAAUGAAUUUAGUAAUCAUUAGAAAUACAUGGAUUAAAAAUUAAAAAUAUAAAUUAAAAAUAUAAGUUAAAACUAAAAGUUAAAAAUAAAAAAAAGAAGAUUAAGAUUAAAACUUAAAAAUUAAAAUUCAUAAGUUAAAAUAUGAAAGUCACAAAUUAUUAUAAAAACUGAAGUAAAAGUAGGACUAAAGAGAAACAAAAGCAAAUGUAUCUUGAUAACACCUAAGAAUUGAGGGCAAUAAAUCCUUUCUACUCCAAAAAAUUUCAAAACAUGUGAUCAGCUUCAAAUUAAAUGAUUUUUAAUUUGUUGCAAAAUUUACUUAAAGGCACUUUUUUUCCAAUAAAUUUAAAUUAAAGCUAGUAUCUAAGCCGUAAGAAAUGCUCCUUCAAAGUUGAGUGACUAAGACUACCAUAGCAAGCAACCUCCCUCCACUUGGAAAUUAACCAAAAAUUCAAUUCAUCUUUAAAUUCAGUAAAAUUUAUGCCAUUAGAAGCUCAGCUUGAAGAUGCACUUAUAUUCCAAUUUUCACAAUAAUCCAAUUAGAAUGAGUAAUGCUUUUUCAAAGGUGGAUGAUCUAAAUUGCGAAGGCAGCCAAUCCUUGAAUACUCAAAAUUUUACCAAAAUUUCGCCCUUACUCCAAAUCAAGCGACCCUUAUCUUGUUGGAAAGCAUUGGAUUCCUAUUUUAAAAGGACAUUUUCUUCAUAUCACUUCAAAAACAACAAAAAAAAAAAAAAAAAAAAUCAAUCUUGUUGGCAUGUGUCCAUCCGUGCAAGAUGAUGGUUCUAAGUACAACUUUCACAUCAACUUGAAGCAAUUUAAAGAUGGCUUACUCAAUGUAGUGACAUUUUUUCCACAUAUCAAAUUCCUUAUAUUCAUCUAUAUGCAAGAGUAAUAAAGUUGUGCAAAAUUUCUAAUUUAUUUUUUUUAUUCCUUGUACUUAACAAGCACACUCCUUUAAGUCUAUGGUGAUAUUAUAGUGCUUGUAGAUGUGGACAUAUUCAACGUAAAUGGUGCCAGUCUUCCAUCUUACAAAAUUAAAAAAUCAAGCUACUUGUGCAACAUCCAUCUCCAUAGUUGAUGAAAGGUUGAUCUUAGAGAUCAACUUACUGGCGGAAAGUAUUACAAGAAAGGUCACAAUUGUAAUACUUGUAAUUGUUACCAUUUUUGAUGAUAAAAGCUUUUCUUAUUAUUGAUCCCUAUAAGAAUGAUCUUUCAUAAAUAAUAUUAAUAAUGACAUUUUGGUGCAGGGGCCAUUAAAAAUAGUUGACAAACAAUCAAUUGAUAAAGUAAAAAAAUGUAGUGAAUCACAUUAUUCACAAUAAAAUAAAUCACAUAAAAUAGAUGGUUACUAAAAAGUUUAUUACAAACAUAAAUGAGGCUUAUUUUGAUAAAUAAGAAUUUUUGUAUGAAAAUUAUUUUAAAUAAAUUAAAAAUAUCUAUUUUAUAUUUUUUUAGUAUAUAAUACUUUUUAAGAAGAAAAUAAAUGCUAUGACCAUGUUGAUUUUUAUACUAUUUUAAACAAGUAAUUUAGGUACUAUCAAAUUAAGUUAUAAAUUAUUAACUAAAUUAAUAAUUUAAACUUUUUAAUCUACAUAAUAUUAUAUUUUUAAUAUAUAUAUAUAUAUAUAUAUAUAUAUAUAUUCUUAAGCUAAAAUGCUAUAACAUUUAGAUAUUAAAAAAUUAUUUAUGUUAUUAUUUCUGAUAAAUUACUAAAAACGUUCAAAAUCUAAACAAAAUAAAAUCUCAGUAUUCAUUAUCAUGUUUUAAGAUUACUAGAUAUAAAUUUGAAAAGAAUUCAAAAUAAAUUAUUUUAACAAAAAUUUAAAACUUAUAUAUAUAUAUAUAUAUAUAUAUAUAUAUAUAUGCUACUUUUUUAUCAAGAAAAUACAAUAUAUUUAGAAAUUAAGAUUGUAAUAUAUUUUUUAUUCUAUAAACCAUCCUCUAUUAUUUAUAUUGUAAUGUUAUACUAAAAUUAAAGAAUCAUCAUAAAAAUAUAAAUACUAAGCUAAAUUUUACAAGAAUAAAAUAUAAAGCAUAAUAAACAUAUUGAUUAAUAUAUAUAAAUUUAUUGAUUAAUACAUACAUACAUAUAUAUAUAUAUAUAUAUAUAUAUAUAUAUCAAUUUGAAACACUUUGAACAAUUGAAUGUAAAAAAAUUACAUGUUAAUUGAGUCAUUAAUAAAAAAAAAUAAUAAAUCUAGAUAUAAAUAAAUUUUAAGUAUUUAAUAAAAAAAUUUCUUAUCUGUUCAAACAUAUUUACUUAUUCUUUUUAGUUAUGUAAGUAUAUUACAUAAAAGUUCUAAUACAUAUUUAUAAUUAUUUUUAAAAUAGAGUAUAUAUAACUUAUUUCAUAUAUAUUACUCUACUAUAAUUAAUAUGAUAUUUAAACAUAUAUUCUUACUAAAUGUACUGAAAUUUUUAUUGAUAAUUUUUUUUCUUAUUAUUUCAUUAUACUAUGCAAUAUAUCAUAAUGUCUUGUACAAGCUACACUUUACCAAAAAUUUAAUUUUAAAUCAUUAAAAUUUUAGUUUUUAUAUCUUUUUUGUUUAGCAUUAUGAAAUUUGAUAUAUCAAGUAUCAAAUUACUUCAGAAUAUUUUUUCUCAUUGGUUUCAUAGUAAUGUUUAAAAAUUAGAUAUUAAUUAAUGUUUAGAUAUUUUACUUUUAGAAAUGAAACUAUAUCAGUAUUUCUCAAAAAAUAAUAUUUAUGUAAUAUUUAUAUAGUUCAAGUUUUGGUCAAGGAAGUCAUUAAUAGCACUAGAAGAAACAAAGUCUAAUUCAAAAUUAAGCUUACAUAUUAUACAAAAAGAUUAUUGAAGACAUUCCUAUGCCACGUGUAACGUAACCUUUACUCCAGCCGCAAGCACAGUGCCGUGAGUUUAGAAAGUGUGACGCAGAUUGUGCUGUGCACCUUCAUCAAACUGUCAGGUCGAUGGUUGCAGAAGGUCUGUCCACCUAGUAUUCUCGGAGCGGACUCUAACACCAUAAACACAGGUGCAUUAUUUUCGAAUUCGGAGGACCUGGGAAGAGCACCAUACCUCAACGACAGCUUUUCUCGUAGAAUGCAAGGUGGAUGGUCUUGGUGCGGUAUCUCCCUGGCACCUGAGUUGAAACAGUGUUGAUCUUUCGGAUCGUUUCAGAAUUUGGAUUCUCGGGUUUGAUGCCAACAGGCAAAGAUUAGUUGCAGUUCUGGGGAGUUUGGGGAGGAUUAGUUUCGUGGGGUGGACGAGGAGCUGACGGUCGCAUUUGACAUCGUUUAAGAUUGGAUCCACAGUGUUUAUAAAACAUUCUUCGUAGCCAUGGCUGCAUUUGCCGUGCCCACGUUGAAAAAUGUCGAAGAUUUUCAGGUUUGCGUCCCCUCGAUUGGAUUUUAGCUUCCCUGAAACUACAGUGGACAUAUAACCUCCCAGCACAUUCCCUUAACUUGUGCAGUGUUGGUAUAUUUGGAGUUGUGAACUAUGUGGUCUUGUAAUCCUGCAGGUGUAUUACGUCGCGACGGUGUUGGUAGUCAUUCUAUUGGUGAGAAGGUUGCUUACUUGGCCACACCAGCCGCCAGGGCCGCCAGGUCUGCCGUUAGUUGGCCACAUGCAUUUCCUCGGCGCAAACCCACACAUCUCUUUAUGGAAACUGGCGGACAAAUACGGCCCAUUGAUGUCCUUACGUCUUGGUAACAAACCAUACGUUGUUGCGACGUCCCCCGAAACGGCUAAAGAAUUCCUAAAGACUCUGGAUGCAAACUUCGGGUCGCGGCACUAUUCAUCCCAGAGCCAAUAUUUGCUUUACGGCGGUCAAGGUGCGUUGAUUCCGAACCAGUAGCAACUACUACCAAUGCCUCAGCGAUUCUUUUUGGCUGACAGACAGUCCUCAGGCUCAUGCAUUGUUUCGUGGGUCAGAUGUUGCGUUCCAGGAAUCGAGUCCAAGCUGGCGGAACUUAAAAAAGAUCUUCACGAUGGAGCUCGCCAGCCCGGCGCGUUUGGAAGCGUCCCGACACAUCCGAGAGGAGGAAAUGAUCGUCCUACUGCGCACCAUUCACAGCAAAGGCGAGCUGGAACUGAAAUCUCAGCUGAUCGACAUGAUUUCACACGUUAUAUCUCGGAUGGUCAUCAACAAACGGUUCGAUGAUUCCGUAGAAUCAGAUUUUCCGACCCUGGUGCAAACACACUUCCGGUUGGCUGGGGCCUUCGUUCCGGGGGAUUAUAUCCCCGCCGUGAAGUGGCUCGACCUGGGGGGAUUCGAGGCCCAGAUGAAGAAGCAGAAAGAGCGCAUGGACGCGUUUAUUGAUGACAUCCUGGUGCAGCAUCGAGAACGGAGGGCCAAAGGACCCGUGCCGAUGAAGGAAUAUGACAUGGUCCAUGUUCUUCUCGACCGAAUAGAAACGAAAGACGACCAAAUCCAGCUCACCGAUACCCAUGUGAAGGCUCUCGUACUGGUAAGAGCAGUGGCAGAGGUUUCGCUUAGUCUUUUGUUAGAAUUUUCGAUCAAUGAACUAAGCCAUUCCUUGGUGGUCUUGCGUUUGCUGCUCCAACCAGGACGCGUUCCUGGGAGCGUCAGAAACAAUUAUACUGACAUCGGAGUGGGCAAUGGCGGAACUCCUUCGACAUCCUUCACUGAUGGCCAAAGCGCAAGCUGAGCUCGACGCCGUCGUCGGCCGGGACCGCAUGGUGACGGAGUCCGAUCUCCGUCACCUCACUUACCUCAACACAAUAAUCAAAGAAACAUUCCGACUCCAUCCUGCAGCUGCGCUUCUACUGCCUCGCGAGUCCGCUCAACCCUCGCAAGCGUUUGGCUACAAUUUCCCCGCAAAGACGCGCGUUCUUAUCAAUUGCUACGCAAUCCACCGUGACCCGGCCAUAUGGCACGAUCCUCUGGUCUUCAACCCGGACCGGUUUCUGCAAGCGGAUCUCAAGGACGUGGACGUCAAGGGGCGGCACUUCCAGCUGCUACCCUUCGGCGCAGGCCGGCGUGUGUGUCCAGGGUUGUCGAUGGGGAUCCUGACCGUGCAAUUCAUCUUGGCGAGCCUGUUGCAUUCCUUCGACUGGUCGUUGCCGGGUGACAUGAAGCCAGAGGAUGUAGACAUGACGGAGAUAUAUGGGUUGACGCUGCCGAGAGCCGCUCCGUUGCCUUGCGCCGCCAAGCUUCGGCUGCCAUCGCACUUGCUCACCACCGCCCAGAAACCAUAACUCCUCCUGCUCAAUACCUGAUGUGUGUACAGGAUGCACAAACCCGGUAUAUGUCCGUUCGAUACUGGGUUUGUGGUGUGUCGAUUGAUAACUUGGUUACCCUCAGAAACGUGAUGGCUGUUGUACUGGUAUGAGCUUAUGAUACCCUGGCUAUAUACCCGGUUGACAUGGCAGAUUUCUUGCUGGGGUUGUGUAUACUGUUGCAACUGAAUGCAUGAAUGAAAUUUAGCAAGGCUUUUUAUAUUUUCCACUUUGAGGAGUGUGUGUGUAGAUAUAUAUAUAUAUAUAUAUACAUAUAAUAUUAAUGGAAUGAUAAAGUGACCCAUCCAUUAUCACAAAUCGGCACAUCAAUUGUACAUACCUUCUUCAUCAUUAAAAGCAGCAUCCUCAUUUGGAUAAACAAAGUCAUGGUUUUUGUAUGGUUUCCAACCAUUCUCAGCAGUUACCAAUGGCUACUAUUAUUGUCUAUUUUUACAAUCCACAUUUGGAUUAACAAAAUUAUGGUUUUUUGUAUGGUUCCCAAUCAUUCUCAAUAUUUGCCAAUGGCUGCUAUUAAUGCCUAUUUUUAUUUUCUUUGCCUUGGUUCAUCUAUAUAUAUUUACAUAAUCUUUUUCUUAUUAAUUUGUAUUGCAAUUCGCUCUUUUUUACAAUAGUGUAGUGUGUAUAAGAGAAGAAAUUCUAUAUUCUACAAUUCUUUGCAUCUUGCAACAAAGAAAUGAGACACACAUGAUUGUACCAACAAAGAGGUAUUCUAAAAGUAUAGAAGAAAUGAAAGAUAGUUUAGAUGCAUUUACAUACAAUGAAGGUUAUGUUGUUUGCAAGUUUCUUUUUGAUAUGAAUUGUAAUCACAAGUAUAAUAGAAGACAAAUUUACUAUGACCAAAAUUGUCAUACUCAUUAACAAAGUAGUGUAAGUUGAUUGACUCGAUGUUUGUUGCAUUACAUGUGUGUCGUUUGGAGAAUAGUACACAAUGACACUUAAACAUUUGGUAUAGUUUUUAUAAUCAUGGAUCUUAUAGGUCAUUCAUUUGCUCAACAUCAUCAACGAGUAGAGAAAGAAUUAACUUUGCACUUGCUUGUUGUAGGAGUUCAAUCAAAAAAUGUGGUCAUUACCUUACAAAAGAGUGAAAAGAUAUAAUUUAAUAUGAUAUGAAAAUUUUGUUUUAUUCAAAGUUUUAAAGAUUAGUACAUAACAUUUCUAAAUUAGAUAAGUGAUAGAAUUUUUGAGUAGGAAAGCAUGUUUUAUAUGUUUCUUCAAAAAAAUCUAAUAAGCAUUAUUUUUGAAAAAAAAAGACUAGUUAAUAUCACACAACUUCAAUAUGUUGAAUAGAAAUUUCUUAACAUACAGAUAUAUGAGCAAAGUGGCAAGAAAAGAGAAACAAAAUACAAAUUCAACUAUUAAUUGUUGUGAAUGUCAAUUUUUUUAAGAUACAUUUGCAACAACACUCAGAAGUGAAUCUAUGAAGUAAGUAGGGCAGCCAAAGAUUUCCAUGCUCCAUAAUAAUAACUAGCUUACUCUAUCUAUUUCCAAAAUAACCUUCACCUAUAAACAAGGCUUUUUUUUACUAUUGUUAAUAAACUUCAAUGAUAUAAUGAUAUAUCUACUACCUAUAAUCUAAUUAAAAAGCUUUUAGAUUAACAUAUUUGCAUAAAACAACUCAAGAAGCUCAAGAUAUAAAUAUAUUCUUUAUAUAGUCAAAUAAAAAGAAAAUUUAGGAAAAUUAAUCCAAUAUUUUUUCAAUUAGUUAUGACAAGUACCAGUCAAUUUGAAUUAAAAUUAAAAAAAAAAAAAAAAAAAAAAAAAACUACAGCUUAUUGUGGAUACAUUAUAGAAUGUCAUAAGCUUAAAAUGGAUACUUAUAAACUAACCUAUAAAAGAUAGCUACGACCAAUUUUAAGAUGGAAACAUAACACAAUAAUAUUAGAAAUAUAUCAUUAUUCAAACUUGUUGUAAAAAAAAAAAAAAAAAAAAAAAAAAAAAAAAUUACAAAGUGAUAUUACUAACCUUAGCAAUUACAUUUUGCAAGAAAUAAUAUGAGAUGAAGGAGGAAGAUAAAUUAGUAGACCUACUCUCUACAUCCAAAGCAGCUUUUUUGCUUUGACAAAAUCAACAUUUAGAGUUAAUGAAAUAUUAUUGACAGAUGCCUAUUUUUUAUUAUAAUAUUAAAUGAUAAAUAUGUUCUAAAAUUGCAUGUGUCUAACCACUCACAACAUGCAUUAUUUUCUUCUUGUUUCCAAUAAUAAGCCAAGUAUAGAUCUUUGCCUGAUAAGUACAUAUUAUUUUUGAAUGUGAAUUUAAAUAAAAAAGAAUGCUAAGUUAAGAAAAUUACAUAAUAAAGCAAUAGCAUAAUUGUAGACAGUAAUAACAAUAUAUAAUAACAUACAUGUCAUCUUAUAUAAUAAAAUAUAACUAUAUAUAGAAUAAUAUUUAAUAUUUUUAUAUUGAUUAAUGUCUUGCAAAUUAAUUUCAAUACUUCAAUUUUUUAACCUGUAUACACACUUAAAUUGAAAAAGUAAUAAAACAUAGUCAAUGUAUAAAAAAAAUCAUGGGUUGUAUUUCUAAUAUGGAUGUACAUUUUUUAGCAAUACAUGAUUUCAAUGAAACGUCAAUAUCUACACAAACAAAAACAUCAUUAGAUCAAGCACCUUAAUUUUCAUCUAUUCCUUAGGACUAAAACCAUUUCAAGCUUGCCAUUGUCUCUUAAAGACUAUUCAUAAUCAAUUAGAAGUUGUAUUGUCCAUACUACCACAUUCAAAGCAUGAAUGCUAUUAAAAUCUGAUUAUCCUAUAACAAUUAAUAUAUACCAAGUGUCACAGAUAUAUAUAUUUAUUCCAAUAAUUAUCUAUAUGAUUAAAUAGAAGUAGGUAAAAAUAGAUUAAUAUGAUAACAUCUUUUAGAGAAGCUUCUUAAAAGCUUUAUAGAUGUGAUUUUUACUUUAUACAUGUUUUUAGUUGAUUGAUAGGUUAGAAACUUGAUCAACAAUUUAAUCACAUGUUACAUACAUUAGUAGCUUAUGGGACAAGCUAACUAUGUGGCGCUCAUAAAUAAAACUUAUCUUAUAAGUAAAGAUAUAUGUCUUGCAAAGUCAACACGUAUUAGAAGUCUUAUAGAACAAUGCUACGUAGUUCUUAGUUAGAUAGUAUAUAUGGAGGCAAGAAUUAAUUCUUCUUCAUUGUUGUUAAUACCUUUCUAGUCCUAGAUCUUAUUUUAAGACUUUUUAGUCUUCUUAUCUUUUACAAAAGCCAUUCUAUUUUAAUAUAUUAUCAUCUUUGAAUGAUUAUGUAGUCUUUUCAAGUAAUACAAGAAUGUCUUGAUCUUUCAAUUCUUCAAGAUUCAUAUCUUUGAUAGUCUCAUAAUAAUAUUAAUUCAUAAUUCUUGACUUGUUUUAGAAGUAAGUAGAUUAUUCUACUUCUAUUAUUAUAUUUUGAAAGUUACAAAUUAUCCACCUUUGAAUAAAUAAUUUAAUUUUUUGAUAUUGAUUUUUCUUUAAAGAGAGUGAAUCAUCUUUCUUUGUAGAAAUAUUCAUUUAACAUUUGAGGUUGUAGAUUACCUUCUUCUCAUUUGACUUUUGGAUUUAUUAAGUUAUUUAAAAUAAAAAGAUAAAUAAUAAAUAUUAUAUUUAGUAAAAUUAAAAAUAGAUUUACAAUUAUUGAAGAUCUUUACAAGCUUAUCAAUACUCUUAAGGUGGAAAUUUUAUGCAUCACCAAUAUCAAUUACAAAAGCACUAUUCUUACACCUAUGGAAGAAGUUUAGAAUCUAUGCUAAGAAAUCGUGUAGUUGAGGGAAAUAAGUAAGUCAACCUUACAAUCAAAUUCAAGAAAUCUUACUUCUACAAGGAUAAGGGUGGCAAGGAUUAGUAUGCACAAGAAGUUUAAUAGAACAAGAUCAAAAUUUCAAGGAUUUUUAUAAAAAAUUAAAAUCUAUUUAAAAUUGUGUCUUUCCCAAUACUUUGAUGGAUUUAAUUAAGUUGGAUUCAUAUGCACAUUUCUUUCUAGAAGUACUCUCUUUUAAUUUACAUCUUUGAUGGAAAAAGAUUCACAACUCUUUUAUGAUUUAAAUUUAUUCUUAAAAAUAUUUACCACCACAUCUAAAAAAAGUGAUCAAGAAAGAAUACUAGAGACCAAGCUCUUAUCUUUACAACAACGAGCAAGUUCAACCACUAUAUAUACUAUUAAAUUCCAAAACCUUAAUUGCAAUGUGGAUUAGAAUGACAAAGCCUUUAUCAAUCAAUUUUAAUAUGGAUUGAAGGAUAACAUCAAAGAUUUGUUAUUAAUAAUGCAAAAAGAAAUUUUUUUGGAAUAAUUUAUUACUGAAGCCAUUGCAUGUAACAAUCAACUAUUUAAAAGGUAUUAAGAAUAAAGAUUUGGCUAAAAAAGAACAAGUCAAGUAAAAAUGGCGGCUCCUAAGCCUUUAAAAACUUAUUUAUCACAGCCAAAAUCAAUGCAAAUUAAUACAAUAUAUUUUAAAUUACUCAUGAAGCAAAAAAAAAACUUGAUACUAUUAAAAAGAUUUAUGCUUAUAUUAUGGAGAAGCUAAAAAUAUUACUCAAUAUUGUUCAAAGAAGAAAUACAAUUAAAAAAUGAUAAGCACAAUUGCCAAACAAGAUAAUAUAUUAAAAAAUGAGUUUCUUCAACUACAAUAAAAAUUGAGCCAUUGGAAAUAUAUGCAAUACCUACUAAAGGUUAUAUUUUCUCUUCAAAUCCUUCACUUUUUUUUACAAUAGAUAUACGUUUAGGACCUAAAAAUUAUAGUCUUUGCCUUACUAGAUUCAAGAGCCUUAGCUUAUUUUAUAGACAAAGACUUUGUCAAAAAAUAAGAAAUAUCAUUAAUCAAGAAAAUUAAACUAUACAUGUAGAAGUCAUAGAUGAUUGUUUGUUCUCUUUUAGAGAUAUCACCUAUAAGAUUUUUCCUUUAGAUGUAGCAAUUAAAGGUCAUAAUAGUUUAAUAAUAUUUAAUGUAAUAAGAUUUCUUUUUAAUUUAAUUAUUUUUAAAUUAUCGUAAUUAAAAAAUAUAUAUAAUUUUCAAAUAGAUUGGAUUUUUUAUAACCUUUAUCUUUUUUGUAAUUAAGUUCAAAAUUUUGUUAGUCAAAUAGAAAUAUAUAAAUCUAAUACAUUCAAACCCUUGUUGAUAUGUGUAAGAACUUUCAUGCAUGCCAUAAAAGAAAGGUCAUCUUUUAUUAUAUAUGUCAUGUCCAUUUUUGAUGGUAAAAAGAUGUUAAGUGAUAUUCUUAGCUAGUAUUAAGAUUUCUAAGAUGUUCCCAAAAUACAAAUAUUCUUUCAAAGCAUCAAUCCUAUGGUUGUUUAAUUAAUUUGUAAAAACGAGCUCAACUACUAUUCAGAUUAAACUAUAGCUUAUCAGAGAAUGAAUUGGCUAUAUUAAAAGAAUAUAUUGAUAAGAAGUUGAAUAAAAACUUCAUAUUCCAUUCAAAAUUUCUAGUAAGAGCUCCUAUCUUAUUUGUGAAGAAAACAAAUUGAUCUCUAUAUAUGUGUGUAGACUAUUGAGGACUUAACAAGAUUACUAUCAAAAAUAGGUAUUCUUUGCUUUUAAUUUCAAGACUUCUUUAUCAAUUCAAUCAAGCAAAGAUCUAUACAAAAAUAAAUCUACAAUGAACAUAAAAUUUGGUUUGCAUCAAAGAAGGAGAUAAAUAGAAGACUAUUUUUUGAAUUGGAUAUGGACAUUUUGAAUGUAAUGUCAUGUCUUUUGGACUUACAAAUGUAUCAACCACUUUUUAACAUCUCAUGAAUUUAUUGAUGAUUUUUUUAUUUGCUAUUUAGACAAUAUUCUAAUCUACUCUAAAAAUACAAAAAUAUAAAUUUUAUAUUUGUUGUGUAUUAUAAAAACUUAGAGAUACAGAAUUACUUGCCAAAAUAGAAAAAUGUAUAUUUUGUAUUACUCAAGUUGACUUCCUAGGAUAUAUUAUUUCCAAUGAAGUAUUAAUGAUGGAUCCUAAAAAAUACUAGAUUAUCAUAGAUUGGAAGAUUCCAAGAAUAAGAAGAAAUAUACAAUGUUUUUUUUGGUUUUGCCAAUUAUUACUGAAUCUUUAUCAAGAACUUUUUUUUAAGUUAUAGACUUAUUUAUACAUUUGAUUUGUAAAAAAAAACUUGAGUUGAAUAAAGAAGCCAAAGUAUCAUUUGAUGUUUUAAAGUAAGAAUUAAUUUUUGCACCAAUCUUAUAUUACAUCGACUUUUUUAAGGCUUUUUUUAUGGAAAAAAUACAAUAAAUUUUUUUUUGAAUAUAAUAUUAUCACAAAUAGGUGUUGAUGCCAAAUCACAUUCAAUAGAUUUUUAUUUCAAAAAAAAUUCAGUAGCAAAGAUCAACUAUAAAAUCUACAAUAAAGAAAAUAUUGAAAUUAUGGAUUCUUUUCAAGAAUGGCAUCAAUAUUUAGAAGAUACUUUUAGUCUAAUCAUCAAGUAUAUAGAUUACAUAAUCUUUGAGUAUUUCAUGUUAACAUGAGUGUUGAAUUAUUACAAUGCUUGUUGGAGUAUGUUAUUAUUAAAAUUUUAUUUUAAAAUCACAUCUUGACUUAAAAAAAUAAUGUUUAUCAAAUGUAUUUUCUAAACAUUCUUAUCUUACAUAAAAAGUAAAUUAUUGAGAUAAUUAUAUAAUUAUCAUCCACCACUUGAUACUUUUUACUUUUUAAAAAUUGAUAAUUCUAUGAUAAAAGAUUUGACAAAUUAUUUCUCAUAGCUAUAUGCAAUAAUGAUUAAGAAAGAAGCUCAAGAACAACAAAAAAUCAAUGUAGCUACCUAUUGCAAGGAACAAUCUUAAUUCAACAUGAGUGAAAAGGUAUGAUUACAUUGUCACAAUGUGUCAAGGACAUGAAUCUCAAAGAAAGAAAUUCUAAAUACACUCUUAUAUUGCUCAAAAAGACUAGAAGAUCACUCAAAGGUGAUAUAAUAUUAAACUAGAAUGGCUAUUACUAAAGACAAGAAAAUUAAAAAGUCUUGAAACAAGACUAAGAACUAAAAAGGUGUUGACAAAGAAUGAAGAAGGCUUCACUCUUGCCUCCAAAUAUACUCUUAAAUAGGAGCUAUGUGACAAUAUCCUAUUGUCAUGGACAUACAUUGGAAGAUUCUUCGAAUAUUCUUCUAGAAUAUUCUCUAAAGAUUCUCUAAAGAUUCUUUUAGAAGAUUCUAGAAGAUUCUUAGAAUAUUCCCUAAAGAUUCUCUUAGAAGGUUCUAGAAUAUUCUGAUAGAUUCUAGGAAGUUGCUCGAGAAGUUUCCUAAUUAGUAGAAGUUGUUGGAGAAGCGUCCUAGUUAGCGGAAGUAGCUCGAGAAGCUUCCUAUUCAGUAGUAUAUAUAGGAGUCGAGGCUGAAGGGUUCUUCAGUCUCGACAACACAUCUCUUGGAGUUCUAGCUCACCUUUCUGGUGUUGUUCUUGUACUCAUCUGUUUAAUCUAGUUCUGCCACUUCUUCUUGAACUUCUUGUUAGAUUUCAAGUCUGUAUUUUGUGUCCGUGACAGUUUCUCGAGACUGCAUUUUCACUGGUAUCAGAGCUAGUUCCUUCUUGUUAGAGAGUGGAUUACCCCUCUUCUUGAAGGUGUGCUAGUAUUUUAGAGGUUGCGGAUUACCCUCCUAUAAACUGAUAUCUCUUCUUUCUCAAUAUUGGAGCCUUAUUCUUCUUGGAGAGAGUGGAUUACCCCUCAUCUUGGAGUCUUAAGGCGUUUUAGAGGUUGCGGAGUACUCUCCUCUGAACCAAUAUUGUCCUCUUGUCAAAACUCUUUUUUCUUCUUUCUGAAGGUUAGCCGAAGGUUAAGACGUUAAAAUGGCUGAAAGUUUGGAAUCCAAACUAGACGCCAUCAUAAAUGCUCUUGCCUCGUUGUCACAUAGGACAACAGAGAUCGAAAGAGUCAUGGUAGGACUCCAUAACAAUAGAGCAUCUGGGAUAGCGCCAUCUAAAGCAUAUCAGCCUCAAACUUCUGCGCCAGAAGAAGCAGUUCUACCUCCAUUUCAACAAGAUCGAGUAGUCCUACAACGAAAGGAGCCUCGAGUUAGUCUUCCGGAUAAGUUUGAUGGAACUCGUUCCAAGUUUCAAGGUUUUGUCAACCAAAUCAGGUUGAUAACAAUUUUACAGCCCGAACGUUAUCCGACGGAGGAAGCGCGUGUUGGGCUUGUUGGAACCUUGCUUACAGCACAAGCUCUGUCUUGGUUUACUCCCUUGUUCGAGAAGCGAUCGCCAAUCCUGAGCAACUUUGAAACGUUCUUGGAGGCGUUUGCAGAAGCAUUUGGUGAGCAUGAUAAAGUUCGAUGGGCUACAACAAAGAUCCAAUCGCUACGACAAGGAACACGCUCUGCAUCAGUCUAUGCCUCGGAUUUCAAACAAUUGGCAAGUGACAUUAAUUGGGGUGAAGAGGCGUUAGUGAGUCAGUUUUAUUGGGGCUUGAAGGAUGAUGUGAAGGACUUGAUGUUAUCUCUUCCUGAUCCUCAAACGCUCAACGAAGCUAUUAGCCAAGUUGUAAAGUGUGACAACCGCCUAUUCCAGCGUGGCCAAGACCAACGUCCAAGACACCAAAUGACUCGUUACGACGUGACUAUGUCUGCAAAUAGCUUAAACUCACAUUCGGAGGCAACAGACAUGCAAAUCGACACGGCGCGUGUCCGAUCUCUUACUCCAACAGAGAAGAAACGGCGUAUGGAGGAAGGGUUAUGUUUGUACUGUGGAGAAGAAGGUCACAAGGUUGGAAAUUGCCCAAAGAAGCAAAAUUGGCACCCUGUCAAGACUAGAAGUGCGAUGAUUCCAGAAAACGACGACGCCCAGCCACAGUAGGAACCUUGCGGCUGGACAAUCUAAUAUCACGACAACAAUCAGGUUCCUCCUUCUCUGUCCAACCUGCCCGUUGUUUUACAAUUCCUUUGUUUUUAGGCCCUCAAAAACAAAAAACUUUAGCUUUAUUGGAUUCGGGGGCAUCUACUUGUUUUUUAGAUGAAGAGUUUGCUAAACGCCACAAGAUCCGUUUAGUACAGAAGUCCAAACCUGUUCACGUAGAGGUGAUAGAUGGACGACCCUUAUUGUCAGGCAACGUUACCCACGAAUCAGAACCUAUAAAAGUGGUGUUUAAGGACCAUAGUAGUCACGUUAUUUUUAAUAUUAUUAGAACCCCAUCAAGCCCUGUUAUCCUUGGUCUUUCUUGGUUAGAAGAUCAUAAUCCGUCCAUUGAUUGGAGGCUACGAAGGAUAACAUUUCCUGAAAAAAAUAAUAAUAAACCUGUUGGUAGAACCUACAUGAAGAAAUCCAUGUUUAUUGGAGCGAGAGCGUUCCUAAGAUCGUCCAAGGAAGGUGCACCAUUUGUCAUUUAUGCAGCUCCAACUAGCGGCGAGAAUAUCUCAACAUCGAAUAUACCAGAGCAAUAUAGGGAUUUUGAAGACGUGUUUCAGAAGAAGAACGUCGAUAUACUGCCGGAACAUCGACCAUAUGAUUGCGCCAUAGACUUAGAGGAAGGAGCGCAACCACCUUUUGGUCCAAUAUACAACCUAUCGCAGACGGAGUUGGCAGAAUUGCGGAAGUACAUCGAUGAGAAUCUAGCCAAGAAUUUUAUUCGACAUUCAAAGUCGCCAGCUAUAGCACCAAUCUUAUUCGUGAAGAAAAAGGAUGGCUCACUACGGAUGUGCGUGGACUACCGAGGACUCAACAAGGUGACCAAGAAAAAUCGCUAUCCCUUACCUUUGAUCUCCGGCCUCUUAGAUCAACUUGGACGUGCAAGGAUUUUUACAAAGAUUGAUUUAAGAGGAGCCUACAACCUUGUGCGAAUCAAAGAAGGAGAUGAAUGGAAGACAGCCUUUCGUACAAGGUAUGGCCAUUUUGAGUACAAUGUCAUGCCUUUUGGUCUUACCAAUGCUCCAGCGGUCUUUCAGCAUAUGAUGAACGACAUCUUUCGGGAGUACCUCGAUGACUUUGUUGUCAUCUAUCUGGAUGAUAUUUUGAUAUUUUCCAAGAAUGAAGAAGAACAUGAGAAGCACGUUUGUUUGGUUCUUGAAAAACUACGCGAACGAGGACUCUACGCCAAGUUGGAGAAGUGUCAAUUUCACCAGAAUGAGAUGGAAUUUUUGGGCUUCAUUGCGACUACAGAGGGCUUGAAGAUGGAUCCAAAAAAGGUAGAAGCAAUUAUAACUUGGGAAGUUCCGAAGACGGUUAGAGAUGUUCAGUGUUUUUUUGGAUUUGCUAACUUCUAUCGGAUCUUCAUCAAGAAUUAUUCUCAAGUUGCUGCACCACUCACGCGUCUAACAAGCAAAGACAAGCUCGAAUGGGGAUCACAAGCAGCAAAAGCAUUUCAAGAUCUCAAGACGGCAUUCACUACGGCUCCAAUCUUGGUACACCCUGACUUUGCAAAGGCUUUCUAUUUAGAGACCGAUGCUUCAGAUUUUGCUUUGGGAGCUGUGCUUUCACAGAUAGGCAUAGACAAGAAGCUUCACCCAGUUGCGUUCUAUUCACGAAAGUUCUCUGCUGCUGAGAUCAACUACGAGAUCCACGACAAAGAGUUGCUUGCUAUAGUGGAUGCCUUCCAAGAGUGGCGUCACUUCCUCGAAGGAGCUGCACAUCCAGUGACUGUUUAUACGGACCACAAGAAUUUGGAGUACUUCAUGACAGCUCGAAUUUUGAAUCGUCGUCAAGCUCGAUGGAAUAUGUCUCUAUCACGAUUUGACUUUAUUAUCACCUACCGCCCUAGAAAACAGCAAGGAUUAUCUGACGCAUUAUCGAGGAGAUCGUAUCUUGCGCCAAAGGCUGGAGAAGCAGCGUUUGAUCAACAAUGUACAACAUUGUUGAAACCAGAAAAAUUCAGGAUUUUUGCUACUGUUGCAACUAUCGAUGACGGCUUCCUCAGCGAGGUACGUACUGCGACCAUUGAGGAUUCUAUAGCUCUUGACAUCAAACAACGUGUCGAUAAUGACAAAUUUAAGGUGGAGGGAGAUCUUUUGUAUUUUGAGGAGCGGUUGUAUAUCCCGAAAGGACCAACUUGACUCCGAGUACUUCAAUCUCGCCACGACUUUCCAGCUGCGGGACAUUUUGGAUUCAACAAGACUUUGGAGCUCAUUUCACGAGAUUUUUGGUGGUGCCAAAUGUGGAGAUUGUGAAGGAAUUUGUCCUUUCUUGUGAUGUUUGUUCAAGAUCCAAGAUCCCUCGACAUCGUCCGUAUGGACUUCUCCAGCCAUUGCCUAUUCCGCACCGACCAUGGUCUUCAGUUUCUAUGGACUUCAUUACGGACCUACCGCCAUCGAAUUCAUUUGACAGCAUCUUUGUUGUGGUGGAUCGAUUUACAAAGAUGGCGCAUUUCGUGCCUUGCAAGAAAACAUCGUCAAGUGAAGACACCUCAAGACUCUUUCUUGAUAACAUAUAUCGUUAUCAUGGCCUACCAGAUGAUAUCGUGUCGGAUCGAGGUACUCAGUUUGUAUCCAAGUUUUGGAGGUCUCUCUUUGAGAUAUUGAAGGUGGAUAUUAAGCUCUCUUCGGCUUUUUAUCCUCAAACUGACGGUCAAACGGAGCGGGUGAAUCAAGUUUUGGAGCAAUAUUUACGAUGCAGCAUCAACUAUCAAGAAGAUGAUUGGACUGCAUAUCUACCGCUUGCUGAGUUUGCAUACAACAACACUCUUCAUGCGUCAACUCAACAAACACCAUUCUUCUCCAACUACGGAUACCACCCCAAGCUCGAUUUAUUGAGUUCUUCAGCAAAUAACAACCCAGCAGCUGAAGGAUUUGUGAAGCAACUAUCGGACCUUCAAGCGACGUUGAAGCUUCAAUUGCAAUCUGCCCAAGAGAGUUACAAGGCAUCUGCAGAUAAAUAUCGAAAUGAGGCGCCUACUUUUAAAGUUGGAAGUAAAGUAUGGCUUCUUCGACGGAAUAUCAAGACCAAGCGGCCAUGUGACAAAUUGGACUAUCGGAGAUUAGGGCCAUUUGUUAUCGGGAAGCAGAUCAAUCCGAUGGCAUAUCGUCUGGAGUUACCAGCUACUAUGAAGGUACAUCCAGUCUUUCAUGUGUCUUUGUUGGAACCUUAUCGAGAGUCAGCUUUUCCCCAAAGAGUACAAAGUCCGCCACCAAGUAUCGAAAUUGAAAACCAUGAGGAAUACGAGGUGGAAAAGGUACUAGAUUCACGGCGUAAUAGGAGAAAAUUGGAGUAUUUAGUGCAUUGGAGUGGAUACGACAUCAAUGAACGAACGUGGGAGCGUGCCGAAAAUCUUCCCAAUGCACCAAAAAAGGUACAAGAAUUUCAUCAACGAUAUCCUCAUAAACCUAAGUCGAUUCAACGAUAGCUUCUUGCUGAAGCUUGCUCAUCAAGUAGCAUAAAAAGGGGGGAGGGCACCUCCAAAACCCAUAGUUUGAUAGUGUAGAACUUUGUUAGCAACUAUAGUUUGCUCUCAUCAUUUUAGCCUUUGGACAUGGAUAGUCAAGAUACUACACUUGUUAUGUCAUCUCAAGCGACUAGCUCACGAAGACGACCACGAGAUGAAGAACCGCCUGCACCACGACGACGUCGGAGGAUACCGAGCAACAGAUCGCUAGUAAUUGUAUUUGAGGUCGAGCCUGCCUACGACGGUCAGCCAGAAGGUGUGUUUGGAGGACAGUUUCACAAUGAAGACACAGAAGUCCACGCUUGGUCAGAGGUUGAAGGUGUUGGUCACUACCGUUGGCUCCAAGGGCCGAUGAAUCAUUUGCCUCGCGAACAACAAUUGGAAUUCAUAGCGAAUGUGAUGCGACAGAUUUUCAUUUUCUUGCGUUGGUAUUGACUGAUAACAACAUUGCUUCUCGGAGACCUCGAAGUUAGAAGAGGAGGUGAUGUCAUGGACAUACAUUGGAAGAUUCUUCGAAUAUUCUUCUAGAAUAUUCUCUAAAGAUUCUCUAAAGAUUCUUUUAGAAGAUUCUAGAAGAUUCUUAGAAUAUUCCCUAAAGAUUCUCUUAGAAGGUUCUAAAAUAUUCUUAGAAGGUUCUAGAAUAUUCUGAUAGAUUCUAGGAAGUUGCUCGAGAAGUUUCCUAAUUAGUAGAAGUUGUUGGAGAAGCGUCCUAGUUAGCGGAAGUAGCUCGAGAAGCUUCCUAUUCAGUAGUAUAUAUAGGAGUCGAGGCUGAAGGGUUCUUCAGUCUCGACAACACAUCUCUUGGAGUUCUAGCUCACCUUUCUGGUGUUGUUCUUGUACUCAUCUGUUUAAUCUAGUUCUGCCACUUCUUCUUGAACUUUUUGUUAGAUUUCAAGUCUGUAUUUUAUGUCCGUGACACCUAUAGAACCUCCAAAACGUAUUGACUUUGCAAGAUAUGUAUCUUAACUUCUAAGACAAGUUUUUUAUAUAUACACUAUAUAGUUAGUUUGUUUUAUAAGCUAUCAAUGGAUGGUUAAUUUAUUGAUCAAGUUUCUAACCUAUCAAUCAACUACAAACACAUGUAAAGUCAAAAUAGCAUCUAUGAAGCUUUUAAGAAGCUUCUCUAAAAAAACAUUAUAAAAUAAAUCUAUUUUUAUUUAUUUUUAUUUAAUCAUAUAGAUAAAUAUUAGAAUAUAUAUAUACAUACAUAUAUAUAUAUAUAUAUAUAUAUAUAUAUAUAUAUAUUCAUGAUAUUAUCCUUCCUUCUAGAGACGAGUUCUACAAAGAGCAGUCAUCAUAUAUUGAGCAAAUUCAAGAUGCAACAAAUUAUGUUUGUUACAUAUUCUGAUCUUUGUUUUCUUUGAAGAUGGUUGAUAGGUCCUCUAAACCAUUGAUAGUAUUCCAUACCAAGGUGAAAAGACCACCCCAUUAUUUGAUCAUUUUUGAAACCUUUAUAACUCUUUUCAAAUAAAAUAUUUAAAAUAUUAAGAAAAUUUGUUUUGAUCUUUAAUAAAAUCUCCAAAUUUUGGAAGUCUCUUUGAAGAUUGUGAUAUCAAACAUGUUAUAUCUUACCAUCUAUUCAAAAAAACAUCAAUUUUGAGGAUCUUCAUCUAGAUUACAUCAUCUUGAAGGUUGUGAUAAUUGCAAUGUUUUAUCUGAUAAAUGAAGAAGUGAUAGCUCUUGAGUUGAAUCUAUAAGUUAUUAGUUUUCCAUCUCUUUAGUAUCACAAAUGCACAAAAGUACCAAAUAAAGAUAAAAGAUAGAAUGCUAUCUUUGCUAGAUCUUAUUUUUUUUAUAGCAAAGAUUUGUUAUUUUCUUUCUUGAUUUUGAUAGAUGUCGUUGAUGAAAAACCUCAAUCUUCUUUAUUGCAUUUGAAAAAUUCUUUGUUGGCUCUCAUAUGCAUUCAUUAAUAUCAUAUUUAUGCCAAUGAACAAGAUAUUUUAACAUAUUUUGGUGCGGCCUUAAAUGCAAGACUUUUUUUAUCUCGAAUUCUUGAUUAUUAUUCACUUUUAUAGGAAGAGGUAGUAUUUAUCUUCUUUCCAAGAUAUUCAUUGUCUUAUAUGGUUCAAGAAGAGAUACAUGUAAUAUAGAAUAGAUCUUCAUAGAUUUUAAUAGAUUUAAUUGAUAAGCAAUAGAAUUGAUUUAUUUACUAAUAGAAAAAGAUUCAAGCCUACAAUGGUCCAACUUGAUAUAAAAAUAAGUAACCUUAAUAUUGCAACAAAGUAGAUAUAAUUUGUCACCUACAAUGAAUUAUAGUUGUUCCUUCUAAUACGCAUCUACAUUAAAAAAAAAUUUGUUAUUGAGAUUUUUUUAAUUAUACCUUUAUUAUUGCAUAUAAUUUUAACAAAAAAUUUGUCAAAUCUUUUGCUUCAAAAUUAUCAAAUUUUAAAAAGUCAAAAGUAUCUUAUUAUGGAUGAUAACCAUAAUUGGUAAAAAAAAAAAAAAAUUAUUAUUAAAUAGAAGAAUGAAUUGAAUUAUUGUAUACAAACUUUGCUUAUGGCAAAAAAAUUGCCUAUCAUCUUGAUGAUAAUUGAUAGUAUACAUCAAAUAUUGCUCCAAAACUUGAUUCAUUUAUUUUAUUUAUCCAUCAAUUUGAGAAUAAAAAGUCAAAGAGAGCUUCAUAUCCAUCUUUAGAAAUUUAAAAAGGGUUUUCCAAAACCUUGAUUUAAAUUGAGUCUUUUUAUUUAAUAUAAUAUCUUUUGGCAAUCCAUGAUAGUAAUAGAUGUUGUUGAAAAAAAGCUUAGCUAUAUCUUACUUAUGAUAGAUUUUGUAUAUGAUACAAAAUGUACCAUCUUGAUAAAAUGAUUUACUAUCACAAAUAUAGAAUCAUAUAAACCUAAGAUUAGAAGAUUCAUAAUAAAAUCUAUAGAAACAGAAGACCAUGGUUGUUCUCAAAAAGAUAAUAUUUGAAAAAAUUUAUAAAAUUGAUAAUGUACAGUUUUGAAUUUUGAAAAAAUAUCAUAUGAUUUUACAAAGUAUUUGAUUGUCUUUUAUAUUUGAAGCCAAAAAAUUUUUUAUAUAUUAACUCUAAAGACUUAUUGUAUCUAAAAUAUCUAGUUGUUGGAAAGUCAUGAUGAGCUUGAAUAACAUGUAUUUAUACUUUGUCUUUUGGAAUAUAUAUAAUUGUCCUUCUAAGUAGAAUAAAUUAUUUUUAAACUUCAACUUAAAAGUACUAUGUGAUUUAGAAGAAUUAUUCUUGAUAUUAUAAAUAAGAUGAUCAGAAGACAUAUUUGAUUGAAUUUGCUUGACAAAUAUUGAAUCAAUAGUCAAUGUUGAUUUUAUUACUCAAAGAUGAAAAUUCUCUAGCUUCAAGAAAAUCAUUUUUUAUUAAUCAAAAGCUACAUUUCUUUCUUUUGGUGUAAGAUAAGAACGUCUAGAAAGGACAUUUGAUAAACCUUAUUAUUUUUCAGAUUUAUAGGUGAUUUUGAAAUCAAUUCUUAAUGAAGAUAUACUCCAAUGGGCUUAAAAAUAAUUCAAAAUACAUGCAGACAUGAAGUACUAAAGAUUCUUGUGAUCUAUAUAUAUAAUAAUUAGACAAAAAUUAUCUUCUAAUUAUUAUCUUGAAAUGAAUCUACAAUGACAAGAAUUUCUUUGUUGUGGAUUUUGUAGUUAAUUUUAGCUACUAAAAAAUUUUUAGAAUGAAAAGUAAUUAGGUGGAGCUUAUCAUCUGUUUCAAUUUAUGAUAGAAUAGUACCUAUAGCAAAGUUUGAUGUAUUUUUUUCCAUAAAAAAUAUCCUAAAAAAAUCGAUGCAAUAUAAAAUUACUACAAAAAUAAAUGUUAUUAUUAAGGCUUGAAAAGAUAUUUUUACUUUUUUGCUCUACUUAAGUUUGUCUUUACAUGUUAGAUAUAUAAGAAAAGCUACAAUUUGAGAAUUCUUUUUGAUGAAGAUUUGAUAAUAAUUGGCAAAUCUCAAAAAAUAUUGCAUAUCUUUGACUAUUUUUGGAACCUUAUAAUUUAUAAUAUUUUGGAUCUUUACUGGAUUUAUUAUUAAUCUUUUGUUCAAAAUGAUGUAUCCUAAAAAAUCAACUUGAACAGUGUAGAAUAUACACUUUUCUAUCAUUGUAUAUAAUCUUAGAUGUUUAAGUUUUUGUGAUAUAUGACAAACAUGAAAUUCAUGAUCUUUUGUAUUCUUAGAAUAGAUUAGAAUGUUGUCUAAAUAAUAUAUAAUAAGAUUAUUAAAAAAAUUCACAAAAUAUAUCAUUCAUGAAAUGUUUAAAAGCAGUUGGUAUAUUUAUUAGUGCAAAAGACAUGACAUUAUAUUUGAAAUAUCCAUUCUUAGUUUGAAAAGUAAUCUUCUACUUAUCUCCUUCUUUAAUACAGACUAAAUUGUAUGCUUUUUAUAGAUCUAUUUUAGUAUAGAUCUUUGCAUGAUUGAGUUAAUCAAAAAGUUUUGAAAUCAAAGGUAGGAAAUACCUAUUCUUGAUGGUGAUCUUAUUAAGUCCUUGAUAAUCUAUGUACAUUUGCAAAGAUAUAUUUUUUUCUUUACAAAUAAGAUUAAAUUUUUUGCUAGAGAUUUCAAAUGGUAUAUGAAGUUUUUAGCCAAGUUCUUAUCAAUGUAUUUCUUUUGUGCAACCAACUCAUUUUACAAUAAGUUGUAGAUUGACCCAAAUGGUCGUUAAAUUCUUUCUUGUAGAUCAAUUGAAUAAUCAUAUGAUGGAUGCUUUGAAAGAAUAUCUAUAUUUUUUUUUUAAGAAAUUUCAUGAAAAUCUUGAUACUUACUAAAAAUAUUAUUUAACAUCUUUUCACCAUAAAAAAUGUAUGUGACAUAUAUAGCAAAAGAUGGUCUUUCUUUUACAGCAUGCAUGAAAUUUUUUGCACCUACCACUAAGAGUUUGGAUGUACUAAGCUUAUCUAUUUCUACUUCACCAUCAAAAUUUUGGAUUAAACUGUAAGAAAAAUUGAGAUUACAAAAAAUCCAAUUUAUCUAUGAAUUAUAUUUUUUUAACUAUAAUAAUCUUUAAAUAACUUUAUUAAAAGAAGAUCCUAUGAUAUUAAAUAUUACUACACUAUUAUGAUCUUUAAUUGCUACAUCGAAAGGAACACUCUUAUAAAUAAUGUCUCUAAAAGAUAACAAAUAACUAUCUAUGACUUCUACAUGUAUGGAUCUAGUAUUCUUGACUAAAGAUAUUUCUUAUUUUUUGAUAAAGUCUUUCUCUAUAAAACGCACUAAGGUUCUUGAAUUUAAUAAUGCAAAGACUUUGUGAUUUUUAGGUCGUAAGCAUACAUCUAUUGUAAAAUAAGGUGAGGGAUAUGAAGAGAAAAUAAAACCUUUAUUAGGUAUUGUACAUGAUUACAGUUGUAUGAUUUCUAUUAUAGCUAGAAAAACUUAUUUUUUAACAUAUUAUCUUUUUUAGCAAUUAUGCUUCUUAUUUUGUAAUUGUGUUGCUUCUUUGGAUAAUGUUAAAUACUAUGCUUAGCUUUUCUACAAUAUAAGCACAAAUUCUCUUGACAAUGUCUAGUCUUUUCUUCCUCGGUGAGGAAUUUAAAAUGUACCAUAUUACUUUGCAUUAGUUCCAAUCUUAAUAAAUAAGUUUUAUAAAACUUAGAAGAUGUCCUCAUUACUUGGCUUGUUCUUCUCUAACCAAGUCUUUUUUCUUGAUGCUUUUUAAAUAAUCAAUUAUUGUAUGCAAUGGCUUAAACAAUUAAUUGUUCUAAAGAUUCUACUUUCAGUAUUGUUAAUAACAAAUCUUUAAGGUUAUUCUCCGAUCCAUAUCAAAAUUGAUUGAUGAAGGCUUUGUCAUUCCAAUCCAUAUUGUAAAUAAGGUUUUAGAAUUCAGUAGGAUAUAUUGUGGCUGAUUGUGAACUUUAUUGUAAAGAUAAGAGCUUAGUCUCUCCUAUUUUUUUUCAAUCAUUUUUUCCAAAUCUUUCCAUAAACACUUUAAGAAUGAAUUCAAAUCAUAAAAAAAUUAUGAAUACUUUUUUAACAAAAGUUCAAACCAAGAGAGAACACUUCUUGAUAGAAUUGCACCUAUAAAUUCAACUUGAAUAAAUCCAUCAAAGUAUUAAAAGACAUGCAACUAUAGAUAGAGCUUGACUUAUUGCUAAAAGCCUCAAAUAAAUUUAUCUUGUUCCAUCAAACUUCUCAAGCAUACUAAUCUUUAUCCAUGUUGUAUUUAUAGAAGCAAAACUUCUUGGAUUUAGUUGUGAGGUUGAUUUACUUUCUUCAUUUAAUUGUAUAAUUUUUUGAUGUAGACUUUGUACUUCUUUCAUAGACAUAGGAUUAGUAUUUCUAUAGUUGGUGCUUGUGAUGUGUGAAAUUUCUACUCUGAGAGUAUUAACAACUUCUUAAUGAUCAACAAUAGCUACAAAUCUAUUUUUACUUUUACCAAGUAUAGCAUCCAUGAUAUUUCCUUCCAUUUCAAUUAACUUAACAAAUCCACAAGUCAAAUUAAAAUAAGAUAAUCUACAACCUUUAAUAUUAAAUAAAAAUUUCCAUGAAGAAAGAUAAUUUGCUCUCUUUAAAGAAGAUAUUAGUAUGAAAAAACUAAACAAUUUGUUUAAAUGUAGAUAAUCUGAAAUCUUCAAAACACAACAAUAGAAGUAGAAUAAUCCACUCAAUUCUUAAAUAAAAACAAGAAUAAUGAGUUAGCACUCUUGUCAAAUUGUCAAGGACAUAAAUCUAUAAGAAAGAAAUUCUAAAAACACUCUUAUGUCACUCAAAAAGACUAAAAAAUCACUCAAAUGUGAUAUAAUAUUAAACUAGAAUGGUUAUUGUUAAAGAUAAGAAGACUAGAACGUCUUGAAACAAGACUAAGAACUAGAAAGGUAUUGACAAAAGUGAAGAAGGCUUCAUUCUUGCUUCCAUAUAUACUCUUAACUAAAAGCUAUAUGGCAAUGUUGUAUAUGACCUCCAAUACGUGUAGACUUUGCAAGACACAUAUCUUAACUUAUAAGGAAGUUUUUUUAUUUAUAUGCCACAUAAUUAACUUGUUCCACAAGCUUUUCACACUUGGUUAACUUGUUGACCAAGUUUCUAAUCUACCAAUUAACUACAAAUACAUGUAAAGUCAAAGUAGCAUCUAUGAAGCUUUUAGGAAGUCUUUCUAGAAAAAAUUGUGAAAUAAAUAUACUUUUAUUUAUUUUUAUUUAAUCAUAUAGAUAAAUAUUAGAAUAAAUAUUUAUGUUCGUGAUACAAUAUCAAGAAUAUAUGUCCUUAUGACAAGUUGGAGUAUUGUAGGCUUGGACCUUUUCUUAUUUGUGAACAAGUCAAUCUUGUUGUUUAUUAAUUACAUCUAUCAAAGUCUAUAAAGAUCCAUUCCAUAUUCCACAUGUUUUUUUUUAAGCCAGAUAUAACAAUGAAUAUCUCAAAAAGAAGAAAUCUUAUUCAUUGGAGCAAAUAUGAUAUUAACAAAUGUAUAUAAGAGCUAAUAAAGAAUCUUGUAAAUGCACCAAAGAAAGUUGAGGCUUUUCAUUGACAACAUAUAUAAAUACCAAGAUAAAAAAAAUUUAAAAAAUUAAAAAAAAUACUAUAAAAGAAUAAGACUAUGAAGACAAUAUUUUAUCUUCUACUAUUAUUUGUAGCUUUUGUAUAUUUGUAGCGCUAAGGAAAUGGAGAACUAAGAAUCAGUAAAUUCAACUCAAGAGCUAUUGUUUGCUAACUUAUUAGACAAGAUAUUGCAAUUGCCACAACCUUCAAGAUGACAUAAUCGAGAUAAAGAUCUUUGAAAACAACAUGUCCUUCUUUGAAUAAAUAGAAAAAUACAAUAAGUUUGAUAUCACGACCUUAGAAGAGACUCUUAAUUUUUAGUGAUUUUAUUAGAAGUAAAAACAACUUUUGAUAGUCUUUCUAAUGUUUUAUUUUAAAAGAAUUAAAAAGAAUUUAACAAUGAUUAAAUAAUAGAUUGGUCUUCUUAUUCUUAUAUGAGAUACUUUCAAUGGUUGAAAAGACUUAUCAAUCAUUUUUGAAGAAAAAAAAAAUCACAAUAUAUAACACAUACAAUUUGCUAUAUCUUGAAUUUCUUCAACAUAUGAUGACUGCUCCUCGUAGAACUUGUUCCUAAAAGAGGAGAUAAUUUCAUGGAUAUAUGUAUUUAUUCUAAUAAUUACCUAUAUAAUUAGACAGAAGUAGAUAAAAUAUAUUAAUUUCAUAAUAUCUUCUAGAGAAGCUUUGUUAAAGCUUUAUAGAUGCAAUUUUGACUUUACAUGUGUUUGUAGUUGAUUGAUAGGUUAAAAACUUGGUCAACAAAUUAACCAUGUGUCACAUGUGUUGGUAGCUUGUAGAACAAGUUAACUAUGUGGUGUACAUAAAAAAAACUUCUCUUAUAAAAUACAAUAUAUGUCUUGCAAAGUCAAUACAUGUUAGAGAUCCUAUAGAUUAUUGCCACAUAGCUCUUAGCUAGAUAGUAUAUAUAGAAGCAAGAGUAUAGUCUUCUUUACUCUUGUCAAUAUCUUUCUAAUCUUUGGUCUUAUUUCAAGACUUUUUAGUCUUCUUACCUUUGCCAUUCUUGUUUAAUAUAUUAUCAUCUUUGAAUGAUUAUGUGAUCUUUUCGAUGGACACAAGAGUAUCUUAAUCUUUCAAUUCUUCAAGAUUUAUGUCCUUGAAACCAAAUUUUCAAAUAAGGAUAAUAAGAUAGACUAAGAGAUCAACCAUAACAUGUUUGGAGAUACAUAUUCCUUGUAAUUUACACUCCUUAGAUCUGCAACAACAUUAUGAUCACAUCUUCCACUGAGCUGCUUCAUAGAGUGAAUGACUAAUAAUAAUUUGUUUAUUCUUAAAAAAAAUGCUCAUCUUCUAGAUAGAGAUGUUAUUUAUGGCACUAUUAGCUCUUCUUUUUGCUUCAGUCACAGAAUUGGAAUUGAUGUAAAACCAACCACCUGAAAUGAUUAAUAAAUGAGUAUAAUAAUAAUUCACAAAUAUAUUCUCUACUUAUAGCCCACAUAAUAAGUGCGCCAUACUUAAUUCACAAAUGCUGACAUUUUAAAUAUCCAUAUAUGUAAAUGACUACUAUAAACCAAGGCUUAUAGUGUUUUGUACCAUCAUCCAUGAACAAAUCAUGUGCUGAAAUAACAAAAUAUCUUUUGAAUUGACAUAAAAGCAAGCUCAAUAGAGUUGGUGCAAUUAUCUACACUGCAACAUUUUUUUCAGCCCCUUUUCAAUUACAUCUGCAUAAUACUGCAAGCUUGGGAAUAAGAAAACAUCUUUUAUCUCAACUACAUGUAAAUAAAAUCUGAUACAAUUAAAAUCCAAUUGGUUCACAUAUUUUAUUACAUAUGCUAAAACAAGAAUUUAUAUAAGAAUACUUGCAGAAUGGUUUGUUAUGGUUCUUACAAAAUAUAUUUUGAAUAGAAUACAUGCUUAAUAAACAUGAUAUCAUUUGAAUCUUACAUCCUCCAAAAUAAGAGAACUUACUAUCUUAAAGGUCGAUUAAAUUCAAAUAUAGGAGGUAAAAAAAUAAAUAUAGAACAUACUAUCAAGUGUAUAUAAGGGUAUAUUAGGUUCCUUCUAAACAUAACAAUUUGAAGUAAUGUGUCAAUUACUCAUAGCUUUCACAAGCAAUCGACUAAUUUCUAAUAUACACCAACAAAAUUUAAGCAAAGCAACAAAGCUAAACUAAUCAAUUAUCUCAAAAGUAUUAGACUUAGUUACCAUAGAUGUAAAGCAUUCCACUCUUUGUGAUGAUAUUACCAAAGUGAUACUAUUGCUCAUGGUAAUGAAUAGUACAUAACAACUCUUGAAAGAAGUAGCAAACUUGAGUGGACUCGAGUUACAAAGUAAGCGUAGAGCAAUGAGACUAUCUUGAAAUGAGUCUCUUGUUCCCUUUGAAACAAAUAAUUAGGAUUUUAUUAUGAUGGAUUGUGGUACAUGGAUGUGAUUAUCAUUGUAAUGACAAUGAAGAUUAGGUAAUCAUAAUUGUGAAUAAAUGUAUUUGGUUUUUAUUGGUUAUAGAUCUUAUGAUAAAAAAAUGAAUCUAGAUGUAAUUAUUUUUUUUUAUAAUUGUGAUGAUGGGUGGAUCGCUUGAGUAAAAAUUUGGAUCACUUUGUCAUUUUCUUAAAUAUAUAAAGAAGGUUGCAAAAAACUAUGCCACUCGAUAUAUAAAAGCUUUUGAGAGUAGUCUCUUAUUGACUUCAAGACUUUAGAAAGCUUCAUUUUCUUGUAUUCUCCAAGUUUUUCCGCUCUUGUAUUCUCCACAUUCUCUUUUUCAAUGAAAAUGUGUCUAAGUAUCUUUGUCUUACAUUAAAUUCAAUGAAAAUGUAUCUUAGUAUCUUUGUCUUACAUUAAAUUGUUUUACUUAAUCAACUAGCAAAAACUUAUGCCAUUGGGUAUAAUAAUUUUUGGCCCAACCAAUCAUAUCUUUGUUCAUCUUUACUUCGAUGUUUCCUUGUUCACAUAUUUCCUUAUUCUCAUAUUCCUUGAUUCCUAUAUUCUUUAUAUUUUCCAAGUUUCUUAUAUUUCCUUCUUCACUACCAACUAAAAGACUUUUUUGUCUCUUUGUGUUGUAUCCAAGCUACUUAUAUAAUAGAUAUGUUUGGUUAGAAAUCAAGUUUUUUUUAUUGUUUGCCAAUCUUAUAAUUAUAAAAAAAAAAAAAAAAAAAAAAAAAAAAAAAAGAUUAAAUACACUAUUCCUAUCAAUUUUUAUUAUAGUAUAACUUUCUUUGUUUUAUAGUUAGCUCCUAUAGUUGGGCCAAUUGGAUGAAAUUCCUCUAUGUCUUAUAUCUUUUAUAUUACCUUCUUGUAAUUAUAUUAGAAUAUUAUUUUUCUAAUAUAAAAUAGUUUAUUUUAAAAUUUAGUUUUAUAAUAUUGCAAUCUUAGAAUAUUAUACAUUCUUGUUCAUAUAAUCCCUUUUUAUUAUUUUACAUAUCAAUUACAUAUCAUUAUUUAUUGUUCUUUACAAAAUAUUCUUAUACAUAUAUAAAUAAAUAUAUAAAUAUAUAUAUAUAUAUACACACAUAAUUUAAAUUUGUAAGGUUUCAAUUCCAAAUAUUACAGCACAUGUUGAUUCUUUUUAUCACAUUUUAAGCUCUCAUAAAUCAUGAUAUUUUAGUUUUCUUCAAAUUUAUCCAGAAUACUUCUUCCUAAAAUCAAACAAAAAAACAUAAUACAUUGAUGUACAUAUUUCUGGAAACUAAUAUUGUACAAAAGAUACAACAAACAGGCAGAUAUCACGAGUGUUAGUGGUACAAUGGUGAAUUUUCAUGGCACCUUUGGAGUUGUGUGAAACUUCAAUCAUACCAGUAAGACAUGUUCACAGCAGAUAGACUUCACUAUUGGUAAGUAACUUUUAAGUUGGUACAUGACACAAUGAUCACAAUAAAGGAUGAUCAUUUUUUUUGUGUUCGCAAAACCUAGUGCCGCUUAAGUAACAUAAGAUAAACUAGUUUUUUGUGCUAUCUUAUUCCUACUCUGUCUGCACAAUGCCAACCACUUUUCAAAAGAGCUAGUUAGUGCCCUGCUCUGCUCUGCUCGAAAUAAAAGCCUCGCCCAUGUAAGAAACCACACGUCCAUAUAACAGGGAGUCUCCAGUUUGUUCCACCAAGAGUAUCACUCAAAUUGAUGUUCAAUUUCUUAGAAGACAUUGAUUUCCUCAUAAACCUGUGACCAAUCUCGGUGGAUAAUGUUGCAAACACAAACAGCGUGGUGAUGAAUGCGUCUUCGCGUCUCUCCUGCAAAGAGUCUAUCAAACUCUUCCAUGGUAGAGUGAAUAUUAACUGUGUAAAGGAACUUGAUAUAAGUGAGCAGGUCACUUUGAAUUCAUGCCAUCAUGCCAACAACUUCAACUUCUAAUCGUUGUUCGCACUUCCAAAUCUGCCACCCAUCUACAUUCCCAAACAUUCAGGCGCAGAGGGUCAAUGACCCGAUAAUCGCGCCACGAAACAUGAUACCAUUUGGGAUAGCACCUCUCCAUGUGUCUUACACUUGAGAGACUGUAGUAUUCUGAAGUUUACUUCUUCAUUUUAUCCUGCCUCCUCUUUCGAGCUUUGCUUCCCUGACGCUUAGCCUUCAACUUCUCUUCCGAUUGAUUGGGCUCUGAUUGGGCUUCGGCCUCCUGCUCCUCUAACGGUCCCUCAGAAACAACCACGGAAUAAGCCUCAGUUUUCGUUUGCUCAACUUCCUCGGGCUCAGCAAUGGAUGCCUCAACCUCCUGAGCAGCAGGCUCCUCGACCGAGAGUUCUGUUACAGGUGCAUCAACCUCUCCUUCAAUGGAAUAGGGCUCUAGUGACCCCACAGGCUUCUCUGCAACAGCGUCUUCCACUCCUGGGGCUUCCUUUCCUUCAACAACUGCAAUCCCCUCCACAGUAACAACCCCGUCCAGACUCAAUCCAUAGUAUUCUUUCAUUGAUCUAAAGUCAAGCGAAUCAAGUCCAUACACCGUGUCUCCUUUAAUAUCUCCUGCAUUCAAGUCUAGCAUGUCCACUUGCUCAUGCUCAUNNNNNNNNNNNNNNNNNNNNNNNNNNNNNNNNNNNNNNNNNNNNNNNNNNNNNNNNNNNNNNNNNNNNNNNNNNNNNNNNNNNNNNNNNNNNNNNNNNNNCCGUUACAGCAGUAUUAGAAAACUGCUGAACGACGAGUUUUAAUGGUAAUCCAUGGUCUGACUGUUUAUGUAUUGCUUCAGAAAGCAAACAUUGCAUAGAUACUGAUAGAACCUGACCUGCUUUCUUGUAAGGAGCUUCUUUUUCAUCAACGCCCUUCUCUUCGUUGAUUGGUGCAGAGGAUCGGCCUUCAGGAUGACCAACUUGAGUCUCCUCAACUGCCAUCUUGUAAGUAAAAAUUUCUGGUUCUUCACAAACUGUCGAUUUCUCCGAAGCAGACGAUGCUCCAGCUGAUUCUUCUUCUACUCUAUUGAGCUCCUCAGGUUUAUCUUCUUCUUCUUCAACAGAAUGCUUAUUCUCACUUGGAACUUGAACAGGUUCGUCUGUCGCUUCUUUGAUUGCAUCGGCCUCCUCUGAGCCCUCUCUUUGUCCUUUUACACGGUCAUCAAAAUGGAAGACAUUAUAUUCUGCUACUUCGCCUUCUGCUUCUACGGUGGAGUCAUCUAUAGAGCGCUCAGCAGUGUCAUUUUCUUGGACCGCCUGUUCCUCAUCUUUUUUCUGUACUCCCUCAAAAUCAUUCGAUUCCUCAGGCGAUUCCUGUCCAAUUUCCUCUCGCGUUGUAGUAGAAAGCACCUCUUCAACUUGAUUGUCAAUAUACUUGGAGGAGUCGCACCAUUUUAUGAUACUCGACAGAGAGACAAAGUGGAAGAGGGCAUAAUAAGCAGUGACCCCACAGAGUAGAGGAGCUAAGAAAACUCCACCAAUCAACAUGAAUACUAUGACCAGAGGAGCUAAAAAUGGGAGUAAUAUCAAUACUACCAUGGAUAUUAACCGACGACUCCGCGUUUGCAACGCAAAAUUUGCUCCCUUCUUGGCUUGUGCAUAAAGAUUGUACACACCAUCGUAGCUCUGACUCCACACAUCAUUAUCAUCCGAGCGGGCCAUGACCAUAUUUCUUCGCAAUCUCAGUAAAUAAUCUUCUUCAGGCACUUAUCGUCUACACUCAUUCGCAUGUUAGAGAGCGAGUCCUCCAUACACCUAUAGGUAACAGCUUAAUAAUAAGCGAUUUCGUUGUGACUGGAACUUAAACCAGAAAUCCAUCACCUCUGCCGUAAUAACGUAAAAUUCCCUUGUUCGUUAAGGCCUGCCAGUGCCAUCUUCUCACUUCACAACACGACAUACACAAAAAAUGAAUUCGAUUACACGAAAAAUGGCUAACAAAGAUGAAUUCAAAAGCAUUUGCAUGGAAAAGAAAUUCUGUACCUCCCAUGUUAUCAUCAUCCCUGUAAAAGUAACAUGCAAGCAUACAUCAGCUCACUACUACCAUACUUAACCGGAACAUAAUCACGAGCAACUGAAGCAGUGAUACGGACACAUUCCCAUGUUCUCAAUGGCCAUCCUCCAGAUUACUUACAACCCUGAAAUGAGAGUUUUUUGUGUAGGAACACAUGUCUAUCAUAUAAAAGUAUACAGAGGAAGAGCAAUCCAGGUUCUCUGCAAAGUUGGAAUGUUGCACGGAACAUGACCACGAAGCAGGGCUCAAGUACAAUCAAUCACGCAGCAUUCAUUGACCACAAUACCACAGUACACUCAUUUCGAAAGCACCCAAAGUCACAGCCGAAAAGGACCAAAACUAAACCUUCCUCAGCUCCUCCGCUAAGCCUCAAAAACCCUACGUCGGGACGACGUCUAAACUACUUGAAAAUCACAUAGGACGAAGAGCACCAACAAAAAUAACAAAAAACAAAAAACAAAGAAAAAAAAUGACAAACAGAUAAACCACGCAGUCAGGAUCGUUACCAUUUCCACAAUACAUACACACCUCACCAUCAUGUGACAGCAUUUCAAACGUUGCCAAGAACAAGUUCACGUCCAGCUCCACCACACAACUAAAGUCUGUUCCGAGAAGUCACCCAACAUUCGAACAUGCAACCAAAUGCAAAAAGCUUCUAGACUGCACUCAGUGUCACAGAAACUAUAACACCACAGCAUGCAACACCAAAUGCAAAAAGCUUCUAGACUGCACUCAGUGUCACAGAAACUAUAACACCACAGCAUGGAACAAAUUGCUUGAUACCUGCGUGCCUUAUCCCCCCGAGAAGAAGAAGCAACAACUCUCUCUCUCUCUCACCGAAGCACCAAAUUCCGCAACCCAGAGCUCAAUGCAAAGCCUUCCACCAUGCGAGUGGCGAUGCCUGCAAAUAAGUUGGAAUCCCGGGCCCUGCUGUGGCCGCAUUAGUCGUCAAGUUGGUGAGGAUUGGCGCUUGGAUUAGAGUGCGCGAGAUGGCAACACCGCUCGGCUGGUCCUCACCCCGCCCUCGCUCUUGUGUCGCCUUCUGGGGAAAGUAUCGGUGCCAAGUGGACACCGGGGGUCCCCCCGCUCAUGCUUGAUGGAUGAAUGUCAUUCCACUAGGUCAUGACGGAAGGAUGAACGAUAGUCCCCUAGGUCGUGCUUGCUGGAUGGAUAGAUGAACACUGGUUCCCUAGGUCGUGCUUUUUGGAUGGACGUGGAUUCACUAGGGCCCGUCCUUGUGAAGGCUUGUCCUCUGUUCCAUGCCUGCAUACCAAACAUGAUAUAUUUUAAAACAAAUUCCUCCUUGCAAGUUAAACCUUGCUUGCAUGUGUGACACGUGAAGGUUUCUAAUUAUUCAAGCUAUUCACAAAGGGUCUUGCAAAACCCUUCCUGGUCAAUGUAGACUGGACUUUCGUUUUUGUUGAAUUUGAGUUUGGAAUAUCAUAUGAAAUCUUGAAAGAUGUCCAAUGGAAAAUUUGUUGUGUUUGAAGGAGUUGUGAGAAAAAAGUGAAUGGGUUUUGAAUGUUGUUUGCAAUGUAUAAUACAACUAUAAUACUUUAAAUUUCUAUUGAUUUCAUUUAAAAUCAAUAUUAAACUAAAAUAUUUUAAUAUAUAUAAUAUUAAUAUCAUGCUUUAUUUUUUGGAUUUUGUGUAAAAAAACAAAUCUGCUCAAUAGCUAAUUUGCUAGAAACACUCAUAUUUGAAAUCAAUUAAUAUUGUCCAAAUAAUGACUAAAUUUUGUAUCUUUGUAAUUGUUAAAAGUGACUCCAAUACUAUUUAUCUCACUGUGAGUCUUACAAACAAAUUGACAAUAAAAUAAACAAAAGUGGUUGGAUGAAAUAAAUAAAUAAAUACUGCCCAAGUAGCUUUUGAAUAUAAAUAGAAUUAUUAUCUUUCUUAUUCUCAUCAUAAAUAAAUAAAAUAAAUUCAAAACCUAAUGCUUUGAUGUUCAACAUUUCAAUAAAAAAAUUAUUACUAUUUUCAUGUACACACGAUAUGUAUAAAAACGAUAUGUUUACAUAUAUAUAUAUAUAUAUAUAUAUAUAUAUAAAAUGUUUGGAAGUACAAAUCAAAUCAAACCAUUUACAAAUUUGUAUAUAGGGAUGGAAACUUUGUAAGGGUGACACUUGUGAAUUUUUCAAAACAUUGUUGCUGCUGCUGCCUUGAUUUGGAGUUUUUUCUAACAAACAUUAGAGGGUUUGCUCGAGAACCAGAAAUUGGGCUCGGUUGAGAAAUUCACAUUCCAUGACCUCGGAGAUCGAAAUUCGAAUGGGGAAGGUCUUAUUUGUAGUUGUUGGGUUUGAUUCCUGAGAUUAGGAUAAUACCUUUGUGCUUAGACAAUCGUUCAUCACAGCUUUACUACUGCGAUGAGGCGGACGAUUUGCUGAUGGUUCCUUUCUAGCAAUCAUUUUCACGUUCAUGUCGACAUUACUCUUAUAUUUGUCAGAGUUCGUUCUUUGAGCUCUUUCAUUGAAUAACGUCAAUAUUAUUUUUGAUGAGCGUUCUUCCGCGUCUGACAAAUUCAGGGAACAGGUUAGGGUCCAGGACUUUCUUCAGUGGUGACUAAUCGACGGUAUUGAAUUGUAGCACUUGUUUUUGCCGCUGUUUCGUAUAUUUUGCCUUUUUAUUACAAAGUUAGCUCUGAUUGCAGUGCAGGAUUGAUACUGUUGAGAAUGGUAUGAGACAUGGUACCAGGAUGAUGGUGUUUUUCUAAUUGUUUUUCCUUAUGAGGCAAGCCCUUGAAUACAUGGGUAGAGUCUACAUUCAGAAGCUCACUGACCUUAAUUAUAUUACAGGUUCAUAAAUAACAUCCAGCACGGUGGAAUGAAGAGCGCGAAGUUGAUGUUGGUGGCUUAAGUUCUAGAACCUCCUCUCUUCCAAAUAGUCUGAUAGAAUUCGCCCGGCAUAGGUUUUACAAAACAAGAAUAGGAUGUAGUUGAGAGCUCACUUCCUAGCUGUUUUUAUCUCUACAGUCUUGCAGACUCUUCAGUAACGACUAUUCUUUGCGCUUGCGAAUUCUCCAUUUUGAAUUGGUUGCCUCUGCACAGGUUGCCUUUCCACCGCAAAGCACUACACCGUAACUCACCCCUGGAUCCCAUUUCAUAUGUGUGACCCAAUUGAAGCUUAUGAAGGUGCAUGCAGUCAAUUGUCACACACGUGAACAACACAUGUGCACCAGCUUUUAUUGAAGAUAUGGAAAGGAACUUUUGCAACAGAAACUUUGUUGUAUUCUAUUGAGACCGUUCAGGCAUGCGUUACACCUGUUGUCUCUGUGUCGAUUUCCAAGUUAGAACAGGCAAUUCGUGCCCAGUAAUUAUAUGUUCGGUUUAUUUUGUUUUCAUUCUCUGUGCCGAACUGGCUCGAAGAAUGACGGCACGAGUCGCUGCAGGGAUGAGGCAAUGCAGUUGGGGAGCGAUCAAUGGACAGUGUCCAAUGUCCCACUUCCUGGGAGAGACACGCAAACGAGUAGAGCAAGGCCCAAGUGAGAGAGAUCUUUGGAAGCACCGCGGUGUCCAAGUUUAGCAAUUCGUGACCGGUUAACCGAAAGCAUGAAUGACAUUUCCGCCGUUGAAAUAUAUUUAUCUCGGAUGUGAUUGAACUGGUUUGAAAAUUAGAAUAGAAUAAUGUGUGGGUGGGGCGAAAAAGCCCCAUUCCCGCGGGGAGCUCGGUGCCCGCGCGGACCUAUCCUGAGAGAGCGGCUAUAGCGGAGAAAGGAGCUUGAGGUAUCGAGUGACCGGAGGUGAAGGGUAGCGAUUGCAAAGGAAAACCCACCGCUCCCGCCAGUGCUGUGAUUUUCUGACCACGUUUUUGGAGUUUGGGUGUCUUGUUUAGGGUGUGCCGCUCAUUGCCCGAAGCUGUCUUUGCGGUUUAGGUUUGCAAUCAUGGCAGCUACUUCUGCAUGCGUCGUGUCGUCCGUGGUCGCCGCCAGUACCGCCAACAGCCAUGUUGCCACUGCGACCAGGACCAUCGCUUCCUAUGGGACGUUGCUGUCCACUCGCCGGGCUUCCUUCAAGACCGGCGUCGUGGUUCCGGCCACCGCUCGCAGUGCUGCCUUUCGAACUGGUACGAUUUUGGUUACUCGUGCAUACAACUGAAUUCUGUGCGGCGAAGUCUACAUUUCUGGGUGCAUAUAGCACUUUGAACGCUUUCACUCUGAAAUCCCCAUGAAUCGGAUGUUUGAGGGUAUAGCCUUGAGCUGUGUUGUGUCGGAGUCUGUAGCGGCCUAAUUGUUGUGUGUUUCCUGCCCAAGCCAAGUUUUAUGCUCAGUCUUCUUGAUGCACAGCACAGAUGAGAUAAGUUCUGCCUGUAGUGAUUUUAUUUAUUUAUUUUGUUUUAAUUCGGUUUAGGGAUUCGCUGUACUAUUAUUAUUAUUAUUUUAAAGGAUUUUCUUCCCUAAUGCAGCCCAUUUCUGAAAAUCCACGGGCCUUUUGGAAAGGAGGGGCUCACCGUGAUGCGUUGAUUGUGAAAUAAGAGUUGUCGCCUUUGUUUUGACUAAUUGUUGUCGCCUUGCCUGAUUGAUACGAAUUGUCAUGUUCUGAUUUUUUUUUUUUUUAAGCAGAGCAAUCUGCCAACGAUUGUAUCGCGGCAAGAAUUAGACCUCUCUCUCUCUCUCGCUCGCUCUCUCCCCCCCCUCCCUUACAUAUAUAUAUAUAUAUUCACGAAUGUGGGAUGUGUUAACUCCUCUGUUACUGAUGUUUAGCCUCAUUGCCCUUUCACACUCUGCAUAGUUCCCUCUUGCUAAAUUUGUUGUCAUGUCUCCGUGUUGUGGUUGGCAGAGCCUAAGAAAUAUUUGACAAUUGUUGCCGCGAAGGCAACAAAGGAUCCCGAGACGACGGUUGAAUCAACUGUGGAUGAUACGUCUGCUGCAUUCGAAGACGCACUCAAAAGCGUUCAAGAAGCGGUAAGAGUCCAACACUAGCGCUGAGCUCUAGGUUUAUUGUUAAUGUUCGAUUCAUGUGGCCCAAAUUCUGUUAUUUAAUCAAUUAAGGACGCAUCAUUUCACGUGUAAAAGCCAUCACAAUAGAAUCUUGUGGCUGUUUUAGUUAUGCACGUUUCAUCGGGACGCCCUCAUGUAAUUUAUUGACUUUUGCUUAGGAAUCAAGCUUUGUUACGUCUUGGUUUUCACUGUGACAUUUUGAAAUGACAACAUGAUUACUUUUUCAGUGGGAGAAGACGGACGACAAAGUCGCCAUUGCAGGAUUAGGAUUGGCGGGACUUGUUGCCAUCUGGUCUGCUGCCGGCCUUAUUAACGUAAGCGCAUGUAAAAUAACUAUAGUUUUCUGUUCAUGAGCAUGCCGAUCGAACAUUUAAUUUUCGAGUUCUUUAGAUGGUUUACAAUUGUCUCUGCUCCAAGAUUGUUGCUAAAAAUGAUUUAUUUAUUUAUUUAUUUAUUUAUUAUGAUCAUAAAUACGUUUUCUAACGAGCUGCACUUUAUUUCGACUUGGAUGGUUGCUUUGAGGUCAUUUUUGGAUAGGGAGGUGUUGAGUUGUGAAUUAAUCUUCUAAUGCAUUUUUUUGUAAAUAUGCAGGCGGUUGACAAGCUACCCCUCAUUCCUGACUUUUUUGAAUUCGUUGGAAUUUUGUUCUCUGGGGUAAGUUUCUGCUUCACAUCUGGUAGCAGCUUUGCUAUGAACGAGUUCCGAUUAUUUGGGUCGCUCUGGUUAGACUCAUUAGAAAAUUGUUGAUAUUCGUCAGAUGUUAUAUUCUGCAAGUAAUGAUUCACUAUUGAUAUUCUUGUGUAGUUUGUGGCAAUGUUUAAUGUCACCUGGUCUGAGGUGUGAAUUGGAAACCCAUAUCUAACCUUUUAGUAUUUUUUGCCAGUGGUUUGUGUACCGAUACUUGCUCUUCAAGCCCGACAGGUUUGUUGAUUCCCUAACUCAUCAUCGUUGCUACUUGUAGAUUGUUCUUGUGGUUCCUUUUACUUCAUAUUUGUAGGUCCAGCCUUUCAAGAAUUCAGCUCUCGUGAUCUUUCAUAUCCUUGCGUAACUUUCGCUAGGUCAGUGUUUUGGGGACUUGUUUAAUCAUUUGCUAAUGUGAAUCACUUCGUGCUUUUUCAGGGAAGUGCUGUUCAAGUUCAUUGACGAGACUAUGACAAAGAUUACUGGCCAGUGAGUUUGAGCAGUAUUGUAAAAUUACAUUUUUCUCCCUGUAAUGGAAAUGAGUUGCAGUUUUACUGCACGAGUUGCCUCCUUAGUACUUGCAAAUCUGUUACCAUUAGAUUGGUGUCUUAGGAUACAAGCCUUUCGUUCUUUUCUGGCCAUCAACAUAGUGAAUCGGAAAUCUGUGGAGUUCAAGGUUUAGAACAUUUAUCUGGUUUAACCGCUGGUUACAACUGGCUCAAUGAUCUUCUGAUCGGUGUGCAAAUUUACUUUCUGUUAUUCAUGGGGGCUGGGACUGACACAUAGGGAAAGUGUGUGGAAUAUUGUCAUUUUUCAUUGUGCAUAAACUGUUUUGAUUAAUUAUCUAGUUAUACAUUGUUCUCUUGUCCAUUUGAAAUACAAGUCUAUGUACGGUUCUAUUUUGAAGCUCUAUCGUGGCACCCAAAGCGGUCAUGAACUGUGCCAAAGGCGAACAUGAGAAAGUACUGGCUUUCAGUAUUUUCUUGUUAUUGUCUGCUGCUGCGUCAACUGUUGAUAAAUGUACAAGUGCUCCUUGCAGAGUUACAUGGGCGUGUUGUACAGAUCCUGGUACAACUCUUGAUGCCCAUCACUAAAACAUACCAAUGAUAACAUAAUUAGUCUAUUAGUUUUUAGUUUGUAAUGUAUUAUCUUUGAAAUGUAAAAUUUGGUGUCAUUUAAACAAUUUGCAGUGUUUGAAUUACUUAUGUGCAGCAGAUGAACAUUUCUUUGAAAAAAGUCCUUGAGAAAACAAAUGUGGUACAGUACAAAGCCAAUAUGUAUAUGAUAAGUUGAUUGAUGUGGUAAAUUAAGGCCAGAAAGUUAAAUCAUAGCAUUAAAAAAGAUGAAAUGUUUAGAUCAAAAGUGGGAAAGUAGUGUAUGAAAUUAUGAAAAUAAUAUGAUAGAAGGGAGUAGAUAUUUAUUUAAAGAGGGUAGUUAUUCAAGGAGUGGAGGUAAAAUAUUUCAUGAGCAAAGGAGGACAUUUUAUUGAAGGGUGGAAUAGGUUAAUUUAACUGAAUUGUAUUAAUAGAUAGUUUACUACUUGAAGUUUUUACUUGUCACUUUGUUUAAAGUAAUUUUUAAAACUUAAAAUUAGUUGAUUGAAUUUUCAAAAACGUGUGUUAUUUCUUGCACAUACUUAGAUAAAUAGAUAAAUAAAUAAAUAAAAUUAUAUAUAUAUAUAUAUAUAUUAUGUAAUAAUUGUGUAAUAAUUGAAAAUAUAUAUUGUGUAAUAAUUGAAUAUUUUAUUAUAAUUGUGUGAAUAUUGUGUAAAGAGGUUUAUAUAUAUAUAUUUUAAACUUAUUUAUUUUAUAAUCUUUGUGUAAAUUAAGUUUUGUUUAAUCAUUUACAUAAUUUGUUACUAAUAUAUAUGUGUUUAUAACUUUUUUUUAUAUAUUUAUAUUAAAAAAUUGUAUGCUUUAUAACAUUCUUCAUACAAAAGUAAGGACCACUCUUUCACAAUAACAACUUGCUUGGAAGUUCUAUCUUAGAAAACCUAAUUUCAUGUUGUCUUUGGUCUCUUUGAAGUAUUUUUUUCCUUACUUGUGCUACAACAAUUGGCAAAACAUUUAACCUAGAAUUUUUAUCCCAAAACAAAGUUGGAUGCAACCUUGUAUUAAGUCAAUGUAAUUCUAAUCUACUAUUGUUACAUUCUUUUAAAUAUCUUUUAAAAUAUCAAAUCUAAUCUUCACCUAUUUUUUUAGUACAUAAAAUUUCCAAGUAGAUUCAUUGUUAGCACUCUAUUAUUGGUCUCCAAUUUCACUAAGAAUGUUCCACCCUACUAUUGUCACAAUCUAAAUACUAAAUGAAAAGACAAAGAUAACAAGAAAGAUUUUUAUUUCUUAUCUAUAUACACAAUAAGAUCUAUUGUUGAAAAAAUUUGUAUGACUUAUAGACAAAUGAGAUGCUAAUUAUAUAUUUAAAAUUAUCCAAAUAAAUGUCAAUAAAAAAUUAUUAAUUUUAUAUCUUUAUUUCUUUGUAAAAUAUGAUUUUAUAUUUAAUUAGUUACAAAAUGUAAGCACUUAAAAUAUUAACAUAUUAUUACCAAUAAUUUUCAACAAAAAUGUCAUUGUCAUAUUAUGUAUCAUCUUAUUUGAGAAUGUACCAUACACUUGGUUAACCUUAAACAAAUCUUUAAAAUAAAAUCCCAAAGACAACAUAAAGAUAUCCUAAAGAAAUUCUAAAUAAAUUCUAAAAAAUCAUGAUAAAAUCUUAAAGAUAUCCAAAUCAAAUUACAACUAAAUUCUAACCAAAUCUUAACUAAAUUCUAAUUAUAACAUUAACAAACCGCAAGUAAAUCCUAAAAACUCAAAAAAAAUCCAAAUCAAUCCUAACCAAAUCCUAUAGAAAUUUAAAAUAUAAAUAAUUAUUAAUUAAAAUCCUUGGUGAUAAUCAUACAAAAUAUUUAUUUAAAUUAACUAUAAAUUCUGUUUUCUAUUAAAAAAGACAUAAGUUCCUUCUUAUGCUUCUUUUACCUACUAAUUAAUAUUUAUAGGUUUCUUAAAUAAUAAUACAUAUAGAUGGAAGGCCAAUAUAGACAUUGGUCUCAAUAACUAAACAAUAGUUUUUAUAAUUAAAAAAAAAAAAAAAACUAAUCCAACUAAGCUAAUUGUAUCCAAGACUUAUUAAAACUUUAAUUUUAUGACUUUUUAUCUAAUAAGACUUUUGUAACUUAUAAACCCUUUUAAAUUCUAAUAAAUACUUAUAUAAUCAAAUAGACUUUUUAAUAUUAAUAUUUUAAUAUUUAAAUAACUUAAAAUUAUAUUUUUAAUAAUUCUACUAAUUAAGAUCCAUUAAUAGGACUAAAAUCUAUAAAAAAUAUUACAAAGUGAAAGAUACACCAAAUUUAAAUAUAAUAGGUGGCAAUAUCAUCUAACACAUAUUUUCACUUUAGAUCUAAAAGGAUGUUGUCAAUAAAAAAAUUGUAUCCUUUGUGAGAUAUUUUCUACAUUUGAAAUUGAACUUCAUAUGCAUUCACUAAUAAUGUAACUGUGCCAAUAUGAAAAGUACUUUAGUUGUCCUCACUUUAGUCUCAAAUCAAUUACUUCUUCUACUUCAAAUUUUUCAUGGUUAUCCACUUCAAUAUAAGAUGGUGGUGGCUAUACUUUUCUUGAUAUGCUUGAUUCUUUAUAAGAUUUUAAAAGAGAGUUGUGAAAAACAUGAUGUACCUUCAUAGAUGUUGGUAAAAUAUCCAAUUGUCUUGUUAGUAGUUCAUGAUAUA